rnacentral:lncRNA from 1 species
AUAUGAGUAUUUUGAGGGAGAAUAUCGUGGGCUUUUGAUUUGAUGGUGAGAUGUGGCUAUCUUUCAGAUGCAGAAGUAGGGGUUGGUAAUUCUUUUCCGAUUCAGUCUCCUCUCUCACUUGAAUUUUUGGAAUCUCUUUAUGGUCUUAGAUGUUGUGCUCCGAUUAUCAGUUUUCCAGUUUAUUAUUUUUAUCAAAGUUGAAGUUGAAGUUUAAGAUUGAAGAAUUUUCCUUUGUUUUUGGACUGGUGAUGUGGCAUGAUAAUUUUGGAUUAUGGAUUGGAUCUAUGGCUCUAGUGUGCAGUACAUGUCUGAAUUUGGUGAAGUAGUUUCUGGCCCCUCUGUUAUUUGGAAGUUGUUGCAUUCAAUUAUGAUUUGCCUCAUUCGAUUCUGCAGUAGUCCAUUCUGGUUAGAUGUGCAUCUCUGCCUAUUGUGACUCUCUUCAUAUUGUAGAGCAUCCAGCACAAUUUGGUAUAAUCUUGUUGAAUGGGUAGCUCAGUUGCUUGCUUUAUGGACUCUUGCUCUGGUCUGAGCUGUUAUGCUUGAUAUCGUCAGUUUUCCAUUUUUCUUUUAUUGAAGUUGUGUCUGCCGUCAACCAAAGAAAAAGGUGGCGAAGCAGUUUUAUAUCUUGUUUUUGGACUGGUGAAUUGGCCUAGUGGUUUGGAUCAUGGUUUGAGUGUAUGGGUCUGUGUGCUUGAUCUGCUUAUUUGUGAGAUGGUGUCAAAUUUUCAGCUGUUCUGUUCUUUUGGUAUUGAAGAAAUUGGAGUUACAUUGCAACUGUUCUUCUGCUAUUCUUGUGUUGAGCUGUGAAUUAUAUUGAAGUGAGGGCAGUUUCUUUACAUGGUUUGAUUGGAGAACGCAUAUUAUGUAUGCAUUCAUAUCAGGGAUGAGUUGUAUUGCUACUAGGUUGUUGAUAUUCAUGAAUUAGUUUACUGUAUUUAUAUGAAUGCUGCUAGAGAGAAGUAUUAUAGUGCCUUGACUUUUGCAGAAGAAUGUUUGAGGCAGGGCAGACAUAUUCAUUUUUCAGUUUACAAAUCAGUCUACAAAAAAAAAUAUAUAUAUAUAUAUAUAUAUAUAUUCAGAUUUCAGAAUUUUGGUUUAUAUUCAUUGCUAAGGCUUGUUUUCUGCACUGCCGAUUCUCUUCUCUGCUGCCUCAAUCUGUGCCUCAAUUUGUCGCAACCAAGUCUGCUCACUCCAAGAGCUGCUCUCACAGUUUCACUAGCUACUGGGGGUUUUAUUUUGGGAUGUUAAUCUUGCCAUACGUUCUACAUCUUGUAAUCUUGUUUCUUUUGAUUGUGUACUUUGGUGCAACAAUCAUGCUUGUUACCAAGCAUGUGGUUGAGGGGGUGUUAACUAUGUAAAGGGUAAUUACGACAUUUACUAUAAAUCCCUACCCUAUAAAAGCUAUGCUAUGUACACUGUUCAUGAUAUCAAGUAAUACAAGAUGUAGCCUUUACCUCUCCUCUGCGUUCUACUUUUCUGUCUUUGUUCAUUUCAAUUCAAUAAACCAUGAUUUCUAGAGCUUUGGCUCUUGAUUCUAUGACUUCUAUGGUCCUAUUUUAGCUUUGUGAUUGUUCGCUUCCGCAUUUCGUUCUUCAAUUUCAAGUUUAAGGCUCAGAAACCCUAGAUCUAUGAUGCGAUUAUGCUUAUCUUCUUCGUUUUGGUACACGAUUGUGUUUAAUUGCCUUGUGAGCUAGAUCGAGUACAUUUUAUGCUGAUGAGUGAAGAUUUGAAGCUGUUUUUCUACUGUUCAGCUAUAAGAUCUUAGUGUUUAUGAUCUUUUAGCUUAGUUUACAGUGAUUCGAAGUAGAGGUUUUUUGUUCUGAAGAUUCGACUAGAGGAUUUGAUGAAAUUUGUAGUUGUUUACUACUAUUUUGCUACAGAUCUUGAAAAUUGACAGUUCAAAAGCUUUGAUUAGAGGUUUUUGAUGUGCAACACUGUUAUAGCUGUGCAAUGAGGCUUUUAUGGUUCAGUUCUUAUGUUUAAGAAGUUUUUUGCACGUAACAGAAGGCAAUUUGUAGCAGUGAUGGUAAUAAUAGAUGAUAAAGUGAUGUUGUGAUGUUGGUUUGGUGCUGUGAUGUUGUUGAUGGGAUAUGACACACAAUAGAUGAUAAUCAGUAGCAGUGAUGAUUAAAAUAAAUGAUAAAUUGGUGAUGUGCUGAUGUGUUGUGAUGUACUACCAUUUUGAGUAGUGAUAUGAGAUAAUAGAGGAUAAUAUUGUGUUGCUGAUAGUUGAAGACAAGUAUUAAUACUCUUGUUUUUAGUUUGUGCUAAUUCAGAAGCAAUGGGGUUAACUCAGAGAGAGGUCAAUUCAAUACUGAGUAUGAUAACAGUCAGAUUGACAGAGAGCAACUUUGUGAAGUGGAGUUUCCAAUUUCAGUCAAUGCUUGAGGGAGGUGAUCUUUUUGGUUAUUAUGAUGGGACUAAUGUGUGUCCUCCAAGAUAUGUUCUUACUGAAGAUGGAGAGGUGACAGCUGAAGUCACUGAAGCUUUCAAGGAAUGGAAGAGAGCUGAUAAAGCUCUUCUUGGAUUGCUAAUGGCCACACUUGAUGAUGAGAUAAUGGAUGUUAUUGUUGGAAGCAGGUCUGCUAAAGAAGCUUGGUCUGCUCUUAUUGAGAGAUUUUCAACUGUGUCAAGGGCUAACAUCAUGCAACUCAAAACAGAUCUUCAAACCAUUAAGAAGGGUGCAGACAAUAUCGAUAAGUAUCUUUUGAGGAUUAAGCAUGCAAGAGAUCAGCUCAAUUCUGUUGGAGUUUCUAUACUGGAUGAAGAUAUAAUUGUUGUGACCUUGAAUGGUCUUCCUGAUGAGUAUGCUAUGAUUAAGACAGUUAUUAGAGCAAGGGAUACUGCUAUACCUCUCAAGGAUUUUCGUGCUCAACUAUUGGCUGCAGAGAGGGAUAUAGAGAAGCAAUUUGACCUAUCUGGAGUAAUGUCUGCUAUGGCUGCUCAGAAUACUAGUUUCAGAAACAACAACUUUGGGACAAAUCAGUCCAAUGAUGGUGACAAAUGGAAGUCUUCUUACAACAGUAAUGAUAAAGGGAAAACUACUUGGAAUGGAGGCAAUGGAUCUAAGUCAGGUGGAUGGAGCAAUAACUCAAAAUUUUCUCAAGGUGAAAGUUCAGGCUCUUUUAAGGGCUAUAAUCCAGUUGAGUGUCAGAUAUGUGGAAAGAAAGGUCAUGCAGCUAAUGACUGCUAUCAACAUUUGGAAUGCUCUAUUUGUCAUAAGAAAGGGCAUCCAGCUAGUAAGUGCUUCCAAAAUCCUGCAAAUACAGUUGCUGCAGAAUACAGGAAUAAUGUUGGUAUUCCUCCAGAGUGUCAGAUUUGUAGCAAGAAGGGUCACACAGCAGUUAACUGUUUCUACAGGGUUGAUAUUCUAGCUGAUCAUCCCUCAAAGUCUGUUGUUGUUUGUCAGAUUUGUGGUCUUAAGGGUCAUGUUGCUCUAGAUUGUCAACACAGGAGCAACUAUGCUUAUCAAGGAGCUGAGCCACCAACUUCUCUUACUGCCAUGACAGCUAGCACUUCUAAUGGUGGUGCAAGUUCUUCUACUCAAUCUCAUUCAGUUGAUGAUAUCUGGAUUGGAAAUACUGGAGCUACUCAUCAUAUGACCUCAGACUUGAGGACUCUUUCUAUUGCCAAGCCAUAUGAGUCUGCUAAUACCAUCACUAUUGGAAAUGGAUCAGGUUUGCAAAUCAAACACAUUGGUGAUACUACUUUAACUCCUGAGCACCAUACUUUUAAGUUACGUAAUGUGCUUCAUGUGCCUCAAUUAGCUGUGAACUUGCUCUCCUUUAAUAAACUGUGCAAGGAUAACCAUUGUUUUAUAACAAUGGAUGAUAUUGACAUAUGUGUGCAGGACAAGGUCUCAAAGGCUCCUCUCUUCAGAGGAAAGAGUAAUGGGGAAGGACUCUAUCUUUUUAGAUCUCCAAAACUUACUUCUUCAUGUCCUUCAGCUUUUGUUAGUACUGUGAAGUGCACUAUCUGGCAUCACAGACUUGGUCAUCCAUGAUAACAUGUUAUUCAUGGCUGACCUGAAAGAGCUUGAAGGUUGAAGAAGGAAGCAAAACGCAGAGAGAGCAGAGAGAAAACACAGCCACACACAAAAUUGAAUCAAUGAUAAAAUGAUCUCUGCUUAACAUUCUAUUACAACCAGAAGAUAUUUAUAGGCAUUAACAGACAAUGCCCUUAAUCUUCUCUACAUGACUUACAGCUGCCAUAUACAGCAUUAGCUAGAGAGACUAAUUAGGACAACAUUAAGACCUGCUUACUCUAAUUAACCAAGUACUAAUUAUCUGAAAAAGCAACUCAUUAUUUAACAGCAGCCAGGGGCGUAGCUCUAGGGAGAGGGGGCGAGAAGGGUCAAUUGACCAUUCUCAUAUUUAAUAUGGAUGUUUGAUUUAUUUAACUAGCAUAAUGACCCUUCUAAUUAAGUUCUAACCAAUGAUAAUAAUGCUUUUUUGGCUCAAUUAAAUGCAUAAUAUAUUUUGUCUCUUUAGUUUUAGUUGUAAUGUCUUUCUAGUUUUUGUAUACAUUUAAUGCAAAGGAAAGACGAAAUCAUAGUCAAUAUUCUCUAAUUUGAUCAAUCUAAUAAGAUAAUUUAUUACCGCUCGAUGGUUUCAAAGAUAAUAAGUUAAGGAGAGUGCCUGAUGAAAUCAGACAUCUCUCUAGUAGCGUCAUACUUUAGUUUUUUGGUUAUUUUUCAGUUUGAUUGUUGUUAGACAUAUGUACGUUUACGUCAGAGUCCCUAAUUCUUGGUCUAGGUCUCUAGCAAUACAUAGUUUCUUUUUUUCGUAUCCUUCAGUAGGUAACUAUUGUUGUAACUUCACCUCCCUCUUCUUUUGAUUGAUGUCAAUUAUAUAUACUUAUCUACAAGGCAGAUUACGUCCUCAAUUUUUUUUUUUUUGUCUCAACUCAAUAGCUAUUAAGUUUUGACUCUCCUAAACGAAAUUUCUGGUUACGCCACUGCAUGCAGCUAGCUAGCUAGGAGCUCGGGGAAGAUGUCGAUGAUCAUAUUAUAGUUUCAGUUGAGGGUUCUUUCUUAUACUUGGCCAAUAAGUGAUAUAUAUGCAUGACUAUAUGCACACUCUUUUCAUGCCCUAUCUUAUUGUUUACACCCAAAUUAAUAUUUUACUGAACAGUAAUUGUUUAAGUGAAUAUUAGUUAAAUUCAUGGUCCACGUCACACCGGCGAGCCCGAGUAAUAUUGGGUUUAGAGGCGAGUUACCUCACCUGCAAUAUCACGAGAGCUGGAUGUAGGGUUUGAUUGCACGAAGGCCUUCACAUAUAAGAAGGACUGAAAUUAUCACGCGGGCUGAGGAGUUCGCACAUAUCAAAACAGUGACAUGAGUUGCAUGCGAGCUGGACGCAUGCACUACAAAAAAGAAUUCAAUUAGCCACACCAAAUUGCCGCGGCACCAAUUUGCCAUCGCCAUUGGUCCAAAUUGUGCGACGGCGCUGCCAUGGUAACGCUUUAGUCGCUAAACUAAAACCAUUUUGCGACGGCAACAUCAUGCCGUGGCAAAAAAAAUCAAAUUUGGCGACGGCAAUGUGGAGCCGUGGCAAAAAAAUACAACAUUUGCGACGGCAGAUGAGUGCGGUGGCAUACUUUAAAAUCACCACAUUUAAUUUCGGCUGUUGAUCUGUAUCUUAACCUAACUUUUAAUCUAGGCCAUUUGCCCGGAGUAUAAAAGGGAAAAACCUUAUCUCUUGUUCCCCUCAUUUUGUCGAGAGAGAAGAGAGAGGUAUGAGAUUGAGCAGCAGCCCCCUCUCUUCACGAUUCCUCCUCCUACCUUUUAUUUCAGCAUGCAUCCACCCAUUUGGCAAAUCGGAAUCAAACCCUAAAUCCCCAAUUCCAAAUCUGGCGCAAUUCAUCCCCUGUGGUUCUCUCCAUCGAGUGCCUCAAGGGAACCUCCAAAGCCAACGAGUGGACUGACGACAUGCUCCAGACCGGAGACAUAGUCGAGGAGCUACGUAUCGGCACCUCCGUCACCGUAAAGUCGUCGUUCAAGAACUGCAGGAGCGGCGUCCAGAAGAUUCUCCACGCUUCCUUCAAGGCCAAGGACACGUCCAUCCAGGUCAAAGUCCGUCGCGGCCGGGACGACUUCACGGAGUUGCAAGCUUGUAUCGUCCCCAUUCCAAUGACUCCGCCGGGAAAAAGGUGUACAUGCUCCGGUCCAUUUUCGACCCCAACUACGUCGUCGGGUUCUGGCGAAGUCUUUGCUUCUCUAAGGUAAUCUAUUCCCUCCUUCUUCAAUAUAAUGACCGUGUGAUUGUAAGCUCAGAGGAUGGACUUAAUGCAGUAUGAUCUGAACUUUUUUGUUCUCAAUGACUGAUCUGAUUAUUGCUUAUAUCUGCUUUCUGGAAUAAACUUUCUGGGAUCCCCUUUUGAAUUUGGAAGGGGGAAAUGAGAAAGUGGAAUUUAGUAUGGUUGGUUGAAAUUUCUUCCUGCUUUCUGUGGAAACAGCCUAACCAAUCUUAUAUUGACUUUCAAUGGUUCAGGGAAACGAAGGAGGGGGCUUGAUGCUACACAGUUUAGUAUAGAUUGAUUUUCCAGAAAUGUCGAGGAUCGCUAAGUGGAAGCUUGAGAAGACAAAAGUGAAAGUCAUUUUCAGGCUACAAUUCAAUGCUACACAUGUAAGCUCUAACUUUUAGGAUUUGCUGCUGAAAUUCCAUUGUUUCGAUUAUUUACUUGUCUUUUAGAUUCAAUUCUGAGGGAGCAUGCACGAAAACUAAACUAUUUGGUACAUGACGACAUGUACUCGCAUGCCUUUGAUAUGCCGACAUGUACUCGCAAAUGAGAAGUAAUUCAUAGUUAUCAAAUUUCAAAGUUAUUCAUAUACUGGUUUCUUUUUGGUAUUGCAUUCUUUCCCCAUAUAUGUUAUCAAAUUCUGUAACAUAUCCUUUUCAUUCCCCAUAUAUGUUAUCUCAGUUAGUAUUCACUGCCAAACCUUCUCUGCUCUUUUAUUUCUCUGCCUGCUCUUAUUUGUAGCCACUUGCCUCAGAAAUUUCAGCUUAAAUUUCCCUUGGGAAUUUAGAAUCAUGUGGGAAUCAGAGAGUGAAUCAGUUGGAGGAGGCAGAGACUAUGGCAAUUGAGAUUUUAGUUUAAGCAAGCAGAGUGUCAAGAAUGAUGGGUUUGAGCUAAAAGGGAAUUCAUGGUAUGUGUAUAUGAACAACAUAGAUACAGUUGUAUAUUUAUUUGCAUAUAUUUUUAAAUUGUUUUUAUUAGAACUAAUUGCAUAUUGAUGUAGUAGCUAAGUGACUAAAGUGGGAUUACAGACACUAUCUUAUUGAGUUUGCCAAAAUUAGCUAGAAUUUUGAGAAAGGAACUGUAUCUUUUGGAUGAUCAAGCUCCCUUACAUGUCUGUCUGCCUUGAUUUCUAGACCCCAUGGUUUUGGUGUUAGACUAGUAGGCUAGUACUCAUAUAUGUAUAAUGGGAAUUCACAAAGCAUGGCGGUGGUAGUCAUUUCUGCGAUUUUCACAACAGUAGUUCUAUUUUAAUGCAACUAAGCUUCCAACAAAUUUGUUUUGCUAAUAGAUAUUGGUUGUUAUUGAAUUCUUACCCUCAGGAUGAGUCCGUUCUGAUAUGGUUCUCAAGGAAGGAGGAGAAACACCUUAAACUAAGCCAUGUUUCUAGAAUUAUUUCCGGGCAAUGCACUGUAAGUCUCUUUGUAUAUACAACAUCUAUAUUAUAUAUACUUGCAUUGUUAUUAGUGUAUUAUAAAGUUGUUACGUCAUUAGUGCAUGACAAAUUAAAUGUUGUUGGUUUAAUCAUGGCUCUUGCUCCCUAAGUUUGUUUAAGGUUCAUACAACAGUUUAUUUUGUUGCAUGCAUUUGUAUAUUGUGAGCAUGCCACUUUAAUCUGAUGUUCAUACUCUACAUGUUCUUUUUGAGAGACUAGCUUCUUUUACCGGUCCAAUAUAUACAUGCCUUGUAAGGUGAUGCUUAUGUUCCAUGAUCGAUGUCUUAUGGUUUCUUUGCUUUGCAGUUACUUCAGUGAAGUCUCCUCGGCAAGUGAUCGAUGCAUGUUAAUCAGAUAUGUUGUAUUUUGCAUUGUGCAUUCUGAUUGUUUUCUCCUAUAGCUGAAAUGCUACUGCAAUAUUAAUUUCUUAUAAUCACAUAUUGAAUGUAUGAUUAGUAUGUUCAAACUCAAGCUAAAUAAGUUUUACUUUUCUAUGUGCAGGAACUACUUGGGGUGUAGUACUCAUAUGUUAGGUCAAAGCUGUAAAGCAACCAAAGUACCAAACUUGGUAAGAGUUACUUAAACAGUCAAAUCUGUUAAGAGAAGGCUUGCAAAAUGCAAACACUAGAGUAAUUGGUUGAGGAAAAUCCUGCAAAGCUUAUCUUGAAGUAGAGAAACAAAUGUACAUUGUACUAUCUUGUAAUUAAACUCGUGUAAGAGCUUUCAUCUUUUGUAACAUUCAUGGGUGAAAUUAAAUGCAAGAUUUUUUUUUCAGUAUGUCUGAUUCCUUUUGUAGAGCUUUAAUUCAAAAAUAAAAAACAUGUUAUGCAAUUUUUGCAUGCCUAGGUUUUUUUUUUUUUUUUAAAUUCAUGAAAAAAACUUUGCGACGUCAAUUUUACUGUGGCCAAAAUAGGAUUUACAACGGUGUAAGCAGUAGCCAAUUGCCGUCGCUUAGCUGGUGACGGCCUUUGCAGUCGCUGCGUGCCGUCGCCAAUAAGGUGGCGACGGCUCGUUGCCGUAGCCAAAAGCAACGGCCACGCCCUCAACGGCGACGGCAAAAAUGUCGUCGUCGUUGAUCUUUUACGAUUGCAUAAUGGCUUUUGGUGACGGCAUUGUGCCGUGGCUAACUGAAUUAAUUUUUGUAGUGAUGAGAAGAUAUGUUGUACACAUCAAAGAGGCAUGCGUAACUAAGGAAUCUUCUCCUUGAGUUGUGUUCGGCUCCGCAUAAGAGAAGGACCUUGUAAAGAAACAAGAAGAGGAGUUCGCAUGCAAAGAGGGGACUAAAUGAGGCGAGCUCCGCGUGAUGCUUGAUUGGAUAAGGGAGCAAUUAUCUCUAACUCAACAAGGUUCGCAAGGUUCAGAGAACGAAGUUGAAACGUUAAUUGCAUCUAGUUGCAUCAAGCUUCCAGUAACAUCUAAUUGAGUACGAAGGUUUAAGGUUCUCAGUAACUUCUAAUUGAUCCAGUAGUGGGAAGUUUACAAGGUUCGCAAGUGUUCAUGAAGUGUUCUGACUCAACUCUUCUACAUGGAGACAAUUAGUUACGUCGCUCAAGUAUAAUCACAUCAAAUAGUGAUUAACAUCGCCUAUGACAUCUCUACGUUGAAGACUUCUACAAGUCUUUGACAUGCUUUGGGCCAAUACCUAUGGCCCUAAAUAACUCUAUAUAAAGGAGUUCGAUGAUAUUCUCUAGAGACACUCAACAACUCAAUAACUCAACAAAAAAAAUACAAUACAACUAUCGACCCAGUCGAACCCAGACGUUAAAGCCUCUCGCCUUAGCCCUUUUCUUUUACAGGCUCCCCGGAGCUUUGUCUUUAUUCCUUUCCUUUCCAGUUGAAGCUCUGCUCGAUCCUACAUCGAAUAUCGAUAUUGUGACGCUCAGAAGAACUACUGUAAGUCCUUGCCCAAUAUGCAAGAUGAAUCUGAAGAACCAUGCGGUGGAGUUGGUGCUCUCUCCAUCCUCAGUCGCUUGAUUAGAAGCAGAAGGCUAAGCGCACCCCGCUACUACAACCACUACAUUCUGUGUCCGCGCGGUGGUAUGCCCGCAACGAUUAAAAGAGACUUUGCAUACCCAGAAUUACUGGUGUGGCCAAAACACUUAUCUCAGUCUCAUGCACACCGAGUUUUCACCCUUUCACAUGACCUUAAAAGGUAGAUAGGUCAUGCUCUUUUUCCUCUCAAGUAGUGUUAAUAUGAUGGAUUGACAUUUGUUUCACUUCCAAUCUCACUACGUACAGCUUAUUAUCUCUUAAUUAAGUGUGUAUGUGUGUGUUGAUUAACGGGGAUGCUGAGGAGUUCGUCACUUCUCUAGCUUGGAGUGAAUUUCAAUCCUUAUGCUACUGAGGCCGAGGCUUACGAUUUACAUGCCAAGACUUUUCAAUGCUAUCAAUAUAGUAUAGUGAUCGACUUUGAUAAAGAUAUGUGUGACCACAUGCAUUUUGGUUACUUAUUAAAGUCGAUCUAAAGACUUUCAUUAUAGUGAAGCAACUCCUGGUGCAGCUAGACAGGCUCUUUCAUACAUACGUGACUAGUUUGUUGCCUAAAUCUCGUACAAAGGUAACAUUGGUGUGGCCAGUGGCGAUUCGGGUUCCUUGAGCAUGGGUUUUAAGAUUAGAGCAUUCUCUUGUCACCUAGAAAACACACUCGACCUAAUACCAAGACUCAAGGCGGUCGAUGUACGCACGAUGAAGGACUACUUGAACCUCUACUCCGGAGAUCUUGUCAGAGAGUUAGAGACGGUUGUGCAAAGAUAUGAUGUUGCUAAGGCCUACGAAAAGUUGAAGGAACAAACCGGAGGAGAAACAAUGGUUACCAAGAAAAGUAUAGUAGAUUUUAUCCAAGGCAUGGAAGUACCUGACGAAGCAAAGACCAUUAUGCUUAAGCUAACACAAUGUAUAUCUACGUCGGAGCCGCUUCCCAAUUGGCCAGAACAGUAGAGACAUAGCCGUGAAUUCUUAAACGAUUGCACCCAUAGAUAGCGACUGAUUUUGGACAUGAAAAAAAAAAAUUACGGGCCAGAUUAUGGGCCACAAUAACGAGCCCAAUUAACGAAUUGAGCCAGUUAGAUUGAUGAAUGGGCUGUCACACAUGCGAGUCUGAAAGGGACAAAAGCUAGAAACUCCAGAAGAGUGACGUCAGGGUAGCUUCAGCAUACCUACCCAGCAUGGUACAUGAUGUGGCAGGGAUAUGACAAUGUGGGGACUACCAGAGGACGCCAUGAUGGUCCCGCCCUCCUCAGAGGCAUACCACAACUGAUUGAACCACAAUGACGAAAAAUAGGAAGGAAAAAAAACAUCUGAAAUUCUGAACCCGUCCGGCCACUUGUUCCCCGUAUCGCCGGCAAUGGCUCUCUCGUAAAACGAUUACCAUUGGAUUGAUGUCGUUUCAGGACUGGCAAGGAGGAAGAGAAUUGUGGUUUCGAUGCCAAAGUGAAGUGAUGGUCCAUGGGGGCUUUUUGUGGGUGAUGAUGGGGAUGAGUACACAAGUGAUCUAAAAUGGCUAAUGGGGUUCCUCUACAAUCUUCAUGGUAUAUAUAUAUGUUACAGGCGUACGUACCAAGUGAUGUAAUAUGUGUACUCCCAUGGUAUUGUAGCAAAUGUAGUGAUGUAUGUUACUACAAUUCUUUUUUUUUCUCUUUCUUUUAGAUUGGUAAAUCAUAUAUGUCACUAUGUAUGUCAUUACGAUCGUCUUGUCGGAUUUUCUUCCUCUAAGAAACAGGCUAACAACAAUGUUCACGAUUGAUGCAUAUCAGAUAAAAGAAAUGCCACUUUAUUGAAACUUGAAACCAUCAUGCAUAUAUAGCUAGUCACUCAUGCUAUCUUGCAAAAUAAGCAACAAUAUAUAGGAUGAAUAAAACUAAACGUUAAUGUUUUCAUUUUAUGUACCAAUCAUCACAAUAAUCACAGUAGGACUGCAUCAGGGGCUUAUAUAUAGGUGAAAAAUAUUUGUUGAGUUUGGUUGCCCUCCACCUUCACUAUGAAACUUAUGAAUAUUCCAAGCUUAUAAUUAGGAAUGGAAUUGGAAAUUAAUCAAAUCCUUUCAUGUGAAACCCAUUACCCAUAGAUAAUUAAACUAUAAUAGAUCUUUUAUAGGCGAAUAAUAAUUUGUACUCAUAUAUUAAGAGAAUUAAUUCUCAAAAGGUUUUGUGAUUUGUGUAUAGACGACAUUCUCUGUCGUAUACUUUGCUUUUGCCUUCUUGAUCCUUCAUUGGGUAUCGGGUCGGGCCAAGGGAGGCUCUUGUUUGUUUCUGGAGGGGAGGGGGACCCAUGUGGUUGAGGGGAGGGUGGGGGACCGGCGGAGGAGUGGCUGGGCCUGCGGAGGGAGACCACCUUCUUGAUGGGAUCAAAAUGUGAUGAUUGCAUAGAUCAUUGGUUUAAUGGUGGCUCAAUUGUGGUCUUAAUAGCUCGAGCUAUUUUGUUAAUGAAUGAGAGUGCUCCCUUUUGCACUGACUAGUCUUCUGCUUACACUUGUGACUUGUCUAAUCAAGCCAAAACUGGGUUUCCAGUUCUUCUUGUUUGCUUACAUACUUUGAGAGGGAGACUCUGAACACCAUUUUAUCGAAAUUUAGAGAUCUCAUUAUAGUGUGAAACACCUAGAAUUAUUAUUAUUAUUAUUUUUUAUGUAGUUACUUAUUAUAAAUUAUUAAUUUAUUUUAAGAGUCGUGUUCAUGUCGUGGUAACGUCAAGUUUAGGUCAAGUUUAGAUGGAAAAAAUAAAAAUAACUAUCUUUACUUUUCAGCAUUUUCUCUUUCAAGAUGGUAAGAAAAAAAAACUUAUUAAUAUAUAAUAGAUGAAUAGAAGUUAAGGCAAUAUAUAGCAUCUAGGCAUUUGAAAUUCUUCAUCUUACCCACAAAGUAAAAUUUUGGAAUUGUUCUUGUAUGCUUGCCUAACCUAUCAAUACUUCGCGGACACUUUGUUCAUAUACUUAAUUGAUUUCAUUUGUUACCAACAUACCUUAAAAUUGUGUAACUAUAGUUUUGGAUGGAUUGGACGUCGACUACCAAAAUCCCACAACUCCCAAUAAUGGACAAUAGAGAUAGAAUCUUUGUCUCUAUUAGAUGAAUUUAAAAACACUUACAGAAGGAAUCUUCUUCAAAACAUGUCUUAAGUUCUUAAUUAACAAGCCUCUAUCCAAUGCACCAUGCCCCGACAUGUUAUCCUCAUAUUAAAGAAAGAAACAAGGCUAGGUAUGCUAUCAUAUAUACACAUAUUGGCACCAACAAGGCUAGCUAUGCUAUCAUAUAUGGCACCACCUCUCUAAACUAGGUCUCAGUCUUCUUCGCCUUAUUGAAGCCUGUGAACCCUAGAGAGGGUCAUCAUCUCGUAGAUGCACUAACCCAAAUGUGAAUAGAGACAGUAUUCCUUUUGUUCUAGCUAGUAUAUAUUUAACUUUUACAGCCCAGUUUUUUGUGGCUCUGGUGGUUUCUGUAAUCAAAGUAAGAUAAAGCCAGCUGAUGAAUUUAUAUUGGGGUAAUCAUAAUGCAUACUUUCCCUAGGUACCAAGACAGAAUACAUAUGCUGUUGUAUUUGCUUUGGUAUCCAAUCUGGCCGGUACCUCCAUUAUGCGUUGUGAGUAAUGGAAUUGUUGAGCCAAGAAAGCCAGAAAUUUGAUCUCAGUAUGCCUUGAAAUAGCAUUGUAUUCCUCUUUUUGAUGGUAACGUGAGAGAGAGGCUAUAAGAUUGGCAUUCAUAUAUGCCUCACUUUUACUGGACAUUAUAGCUAGAAAAUGAACCUUAUGUCUGGCAGCUCGAUCAAAUGCUUUGUCAGCUUUCCUAGCGCAAUUCCAAUAAAGCAUUGAGAUUCAUUGGUAAGGUUUUGAAAACCCAAGAGAUGAAAUCCAACGACAGAAUUUCAACCAGGACAAAAUUUCAUCUUCAUUUUUCUCCUUAGUGAUGAAAACAAAACCAAACCAAACGAAUGACGUUAAACAAAGUACUUCGAAUACCAAAACUCCUAAGAAAUGUGUUCAUGUCUUGUAUAUAGUCUUUUCCCAAAGGUGUGAUUGACGUGUGUUUAAGGAUGAAGUUUAAAUCCAAUCCCAAAGGUAGAUAAUUCCUUUGACCUUCUUAGCAUUAGCAAAAAGAAAGAUGCUUUGUGUGAUAAUAACAUUGUUAGAGAAUCCCACUAAUUACAGCUUGAAAAGUUUCAGCCUUUUAUAAGAAGAGAAUCCAGCAUGAGCACAUUUUAUUAUCUAAAAUGAUAACUUAUUUAUUUUAAACAUUCUUUGCUCAGUGCAGCUUAAUUAUAGAUAAUUGGUCAAACUUACAAUUCAGUAUCUAUUAUCAUCUGCAAGUAUAUAUAUAUAUUUUUUUAUCAACAUUAUCAUCUGCAAGUCUGCAUCAUCCUAUAAGUUCACAAGGUGGAAAAGAUGGUCGAUUGCUCUAUAUCUAGCUAGGUAUUCAUAACAUUUUGCUGCUACUAAUCAACUGAUUAAGCUAGCUAGUGACUGUAAGAUAAGCUGUAAUUGUGCAACUUGUUAAAUAAAAUCCAUGCAUUUCCUUUAGCCGAUGACACCUGCGCGCAUGUAGCUUGUAACAAGAAUUUAGGGUUUAGGCCGCGUUAUUAGGGUUUCACAGAUACCUGCAUGUAAAGAAGAAAUCCAGCAGUUUCUGAUAGUUUGAGACUUUGAGUUGUGAGGGAAGAUGGUUACACCAAAUUGCAGAUGAUGAAUAGUUUAAACUCAAGGAAUUGUAUACAGUUGUAGAUACUCAAGUCGCAAGAAAGGAUCGAUUGAAGAAUAAUUAACUUCAAUCUGGUAAAGGAUGAAUGAGCUAUCAUUACAAUGUUUACAAGUCAAAACUUGAGAAAUUAGAAUGCAAUCCUUAUGUUCCACUGUUCUUUGAAAGAGAGAAUAUAACAGCAUUAUGACUAUGAAUAAUGGUUUCUGUCAAGUACCCCUUAAAUAGGUCCCCCUGCGCUUUAUUUUCGCAGGACAAAGCAUGUUUUCCCAGGCAAAUAAAGCUAACAAUAUGUCAAUUCCAGUAUAACACAAUAAUCAAACACUUAACUAGUGAGGAUCUAUGUUGUUUUGUUGUUCAAUCACAAUCUAAACAGCUGGGUUUUUAACUAAUUAAGCAGGCUGUGUUCUCUUUAUGAACAAAAGGCUAAAAGGGAAAAAGAGAAAGACAACCAGCAAUCCAAAAUCCCAUUGCUGGAUUUUAAUUCACCCCUUUUAGCAGAUUUAAAGUUUUAUUUUGAUGCAGUUGACUUAAUUCUCAACGGCUAUGAUGAAGCGUGUGUUGUUUCCAGGAGACAAAAUCAUGGUCUUUAUGCUUGAUAAAGAUGAAGGGUGUGAUGCUGAGAAAAAAAAAUGGAGCAAGAACUUUGUGUUUUUUGCAAUACUUGUGGGUCUUUCUGAUCUCUAUCUAUCUGACAUACCCACCCACUAACACAAAAACUGGGAUGCUGCUAAGUAUGAUUUUAAAGCCAGAGACUCAAGACCUUAUAAUGAGCAUUUGUUGACUAACAAAUAAACACACCAAAAUGACUAUGUUCAUGAAAAUUAAGUUUUUUUGGAAUUGGAUGAUUACUCUCAAUCAUAUCUGUCCUAUGCUAUUCUCUCAAUCAUUUAUCUUCUAUCUUGUUCGUCGAUCGACCAUAUUAUCUUUUAUCUUCUCGAUCACUUAAAGCGCAAACACAUAUCUGAUAUCUCCAUGUUUUAACAUGAAACCCCCCAUUGAAUUUCAGCAAAGCAAAUGAAAACAUUGAGGAUGCAGAAAAGAAAAGAGGGAGUGGUCCUUUGCUAUUUAGGUAAUUUAUUGAAGUAGGAUUCAGAUGGGAUAGAUGGUUUAUGGGUGUAUGUCAUGUUACAUGAAAUAAGAGUAAAGUAGGGUUAAUGUGUGAAAAAUCCAAAUUGGGAAGGAAGAGUAAAGUAGGGUUUUUGCCCAAUUUGGUGACUUGGGGUGGGGUGUUUUAAUUAGUACUGUGCUCUAUGAAAGUCCAGAUUCUCAGACUAGCCAUGAAGAGCUUGAGGAUAUGUAAUGGGGACCCAUAUAAAUAUUUCAUCUCAUCUCAUGCAGCAGCAAUAGUAGAAGUUGUUGCAACUUGCAGUGCACCGGCAUAUAUUGUAUCCAUUCUAUUAUGAAGAAUUAUGGGUGUCCCCUAAAGCUUUUUAGAGCUUGGACCUUGGAUACCCUACAAAGAGAAAGAGGAUUGCUUCAAUUAAUACAGCUUUUGUUUGAGCUAGCUAGCUGUACCAGUUGAUCAUCAAGCUCUGAAAGUCACUGAGCUAGCCCUAGCUGUGGAGAUUAAGCAUAAGACAAAUGAUCAUAUGCAGGAUGCUGAUAUAUGAUAGGGGAUGGCUCACCAAUAUGAGGUGCCAAUGCAUCAGCAGAUUGGAAAGGCUAUGAACACUAUGAAGAGGAAGAUGGUCGACCUCUUUGCCUUGUUCAUGAAUAUUACUGCCUGAACUGUCUCUUUCUACCCAGCCAAAUGCACUUGCAUGAAUAUCUAACCUUAACUCGAUCAAAGUAAUUGAUAAAGAUUUAGCAAGCCAAAACAUAAAUACUAUAACCACAUUAUUUUUUUAAGACAUUUCAUCGAACAAUUACCAGUACUACUAUAGAUUAAGAUAAAAAAAGAAACGACAAUCAUCGUAAUCGCAAACUUCAACAAUUGUUGAAAAUAUCACUGUAAAGGGUAUCAGAUUAUCAAUCAUGGCUAAUCUUUUUAACAUAAGCAACUCCAGCUCAGUAAUUAAUCAAGAUUUACUUAUCUGUGAGCAAUGGCUGCCCCAUCCCUGCACAUUAUUACAGCUAGCUGCAUGUAAAAAUCGAUGAACACAGUCACAGAAGCAGUCAAGCAAGAAUAUUAUCAUCGAGAACUGGAAGGCAAUUGGCAUUUGAUUAUUGGUAGUUUUGUUUUGUUCUUGUGGAUCGUGAAGAAGAGAGAACGAGAGUAAGAGAACGAGGGAGGCAUUGGCAGGAGGUGAAAUCUAAAGAUGAUCCCUACAAAGUACAAACCCCACAACCCUAAAAUACCCUAGAACCACCCCACCAACAUCUCUAUUCUCUUUAACCCUUUUUUAGUGUUACAUUUCCCGAGGUAGGACCAACCGAUGCCCCCACCAACAUCUCACUCUAACUCGGAAUAUUUUCUAGCCCAAAUAUCCGGGUUCCUCGCCGAUGACCACCAUUUCUAUUGGUCACCAUGUACAACGUACUCUUCCUAAGUUUCUAUCUUCCCAUCCAAUAAAUCACAUAUUCAUCACAAAACUGAAGGUGUAAAAGAUGUUGAGAUCUUUCUGAUUCAUUAUUGACUAAUAAUCAUCGGUUUUCCUUUUUCAUAUUAACCAACUAGUACUUCGUGUCGCACAAUUUUAAGUUGUUCGUAGUUUUAUCCAUUCUCAAAACUCAAUAUCAGAUAGAGAUAAAGGCAAUGCCCGAUGUUCUUUAAGAAAACACUUGUAAAAACAACCUUUCGAGUCAUUCUUCGAUCUUUUCUAAAUUUCUAAUACUUUGGUUUCUUUAGCAAUAACUUGUUGUUUUCAUUGAAAUCUCAAAAGGGUUGAUUAUAUUUCAAGUUGAAAUGAACGCUCGUGUUGGUAUGUUUGACAUACUACUUUAGUUUAUAAAGAGAAACACAAACUUUGAUCCAACAUAGUAAGGGAUGCUCUAUAAAAACAAGUUGACACCGUCUAACUGUCUAAGGUUUAUAUUAAUCGAGGUUGCUAAUUAUCCAAGCUUUGUUUAGCCUUGUGGUACUGGAAGACCCAGAAAUGGUGACACACAUGGCUUAGGGCUUUAAGAUUGAGUUGUGCCGGAGAAGAAUAGCAACUUAGCACACAGAGCUAGCAUUGUUUCGUUUUUCUUCUUCAUUAUUGUAAGAGGAGGAUGCAUAUAUUUUAAGGAGUAAUAAUGGGGAAAUACAUUGUUAUUGCAACUAUAUUCUAUUUAGUAGGCUUGUAGUGAUUCUUUUAAGUUUAGAUAGAUAGGGACGUAUGAUGUUGUAUUUUUGUGGAUCUUGAUGUUGACAUUCUCGUGAGUUGUUGCCUUUUGCUCUUUUAUUUAUUUUGAAUUUGCAAUGACAGAAGAAACUCAACAUUUUCAUGCCAUUUGAAAAUGAAGCUACAAGUAGAGAAAAUUUUCAGAACUAAGUCACUAAUACAUGGUUUUUGCAACGGAAGAAAUGCGUGUUUCGCUUUUACAGUCAAAUGUAUGUUUGCAAGUAUGUGAUAAAAUUGCUUGUUUCAAUGAUAUUUUUAUAGCAAGUUAUAGACAAAUAAAGUUUUUAAGUUACGAUGUUGACAACAUUUAUAUGAGAAAGAAGUUAUUCGAUCAAGAUUAUGAGCUAGAAGAAACUAUAAAAAAAAAUAAAAAUGAAAAGUAUUGUAAUGAGUCAUGACUAUGGUUUUGUAGACCAUUACUAAUACAAUUGAAUGCCUUAAUGCACUUUAAAGUUUAUAUGAUUUUCCUGAAAACAAUACACAAACUCGAGUCCUAAACACUAAAUUCUAUUUUCUGGGCAUCAGUGUAUCCCAUAAAUUUUCUUUUGGCUAAUUAAGUUCAUAAUAUUCCCUUCUUAACACCUAGAUUCGAAAUCAAUCAUGAUCCAAAAUCUUUCCAAAACAGUAAACACACAAUAUAAAAAGAGUAAACGCAAUUUUAAUAAAAAAAUCCCAGAAUAAUUAUGCAACAAAACCUUAGAUUAUUCUCUUCAUUUUCUCAUCUCUUCAAUUAUCACAAAAUCCCAAACAUCUCAUGAGAUUUGACAGUUCCUUACAAGAAAAUCAACCAUCCUCACUAGGAUAGCCGUGAAACCAACCGAAAGGGGUAGAGCGGACCAAUGGGACCAGUCACCGGCAAGUCCAACCAAGUCUCCAACAAGACAAAGAUAUCACCACCACAGUAAAUUAAUACUCAAAGAUCUCAGUGUGUGUUCCCCUUUAAAUAACUUGGGAGAGAAUAUCAGAUUUCAUUUUCGUCUUCAUUUUGUGCUUAAUUUUCUUUGAGCUAGGCUCUCUCAUCAUAAUGACUGUAAUACAAUCACAUUUAUAGAGAAGCAAAAUAGAGAAAAGGAAGAAAGAAAAGCCAAGCAGGACCAAAGUUACCAAACCACACCUUCUCUAUAUAUAAACCUUUUGUUUUAAUCUCACACUCUCUCUAACCGACCACACUUUCAAGUUUCUAAAUUUCCCACGAGACCCAAGCUUUUGGUUUGGUUUUUUGCUUUCAGAUUCUUCCCAACUGUCUCAUCCCCUUCCCUUGUUUGGUUGCAAACAACACAAGACAAGUUGUUUUGUUUUGGAGCAUUAAGGUUGCAAAGAAGAGGAGAUUGUUGGGUUUUGUUGGUGUUGACUGAGUUCAGCUGCCUGGUUUGACUCGGACCCGGGUCGUUUUAUAUGGGUUUGGGUUGGUGAAGUCUGGGAUUAACAGUGAAAUGGGUGAAGCUGAGAAAGGUUCAGUGAUUAAAGAGAAGCUUAGGGGUCUUUGUGUUGGUAAUGGGUGGUCUUAUGGGGUUUUCUGGCGUUUUGAUCAGAGAAAUUCCAUGUAAAGUUUCUUCCUUUUUUGUUUUCUACUUGUUGAUUUACUGUCUUGUACCAUUUUGUUGUCUGGGUUUUGUUCUUGUGGGAUUUGGAGUACCCUUUUUAAGCUUUUGAUGCAUGUGAAGGUUUACAAAAAUCUAAUCUUUCAGUGUCUGGAAAUGUUGAAAAUGGUCUAUAAGUUGCUUCUUUGUUCUUUUUUUCCUCUCAAGGAUUGAUCAUGUAAUUUUCUGCAUUUGAGCUGUAUUAUAUUUUGUGUGUGUGAGAUUAAGCCUCUAUUUUAGUUCAAGUUUUAGUAUUUUAGAUUUCCAAUCUGACAUUUAGUUUGAGGUCUUGCUCAUCACAAAUUCUGGGUUUGAAAUGCUUUAGGUUGUUGACAAUGGGAGAAGCCUAUUAUGAAGAGCACAUGGGAGCAGUGAUUGAAAAUAUGCUUUCACAGGUCCACAUGCUUGGAGAAGGGUAAGCCCAAAAUUUGUACUCCAUUUUUAGUUGCUCACUUUUGAAAUCCCAUUACAUUGUUUACCUUUUUCCUCUAUCAUAAAAAUAUAUGCUUGAGUACAAGAUUUUCGCACUAGAUUCCCUUUUGUUUCAACAAAAGCAUUAGAAAGUUCUAACAGGGGUGAUUUUGUUGUUGUCUGAAACAGUGUUAUUGGUCAAACUGCUUUCACCGGGAAGCAUCAAUGGAUGCAUUCAGAUGCUUACAAUGGACAGUGGAAUUCAUGCAAUCCCAUCGAAAGUUGUAGUAAUCUGUUUCAGGUAGGACAAUAGAUUUCUUGUUGAAUUGCUAAUUUUUUUUCCGACAAGUUUUAGCAACUUAACUGCUGUUUACUCAUCUGGAAAUGAUUUCUCAUUUUGCAGGAUGAUUCUGAGUUCCAUUGCCAAUUUUCCUCUGGUGUAAAGGUAUAAUCAUUUCCUUUUAGUUCUCUCUGUUUUUUUUUUUCCGGAAUUUAUGAGAGAUCUUAUGGAAUCUUAUGUUUUUGUUCUGUACCUUUUGUCAUCCAACCUUAACUCAUAUUUCUUGACAAAUAAAUUUUACUUACAGACAAUUGCAACAGUCUCUGUGGAAUCAGGAGUAAUUCAGUUUGGAUCCACUGAAAAGGUAGUUGAAUGAGAGCAUCUAGCUUUAUACAUAUUUUCUUAACCUGGUUAUGUCAACAUUCUUAUGAUCAAAGAGAACAUGUUCCCCAAAUCGAGUCUCUUAAUAUGGUAGCUUAUAUUAGAGUUGCAGUAUAACAACACUAAGGUAUUGCUUUGUUUGUUUUGUUUUGUUUUUCUUCAGAUUAUGGAGAGGCUGGAGUUUUUAGACGAAACAAAAAGGGUGUUCCAGGAGAUCAAAAAUCUUCAUGGGAUUAUUCCUCUGGCAAGUGCACCUUCAUGUUUGAACAAUGAAUCCAAUGAUCUAAAUGAAUUGUUUGCUUCCUUAAUUUCAUCUGCAAACUUUCAUGGAGACAUUGCCAACAUACUUGGUGAUAAAUCUAAAGAUCUAGGAGGAAAUUGUUUAUCUGCAAUGAAUUUACAGUCUACAGCAUCUGAUGACAUGGGCUCAGCUGAUAAAACCCUGUGGUUUAGUACAUGGAGUACUGAACCUUCUUUGUUGGCCUCAUAUGACCCACAUUUGGCAUCUGAUAUUGGGGUUCAGGAUUCUCUUAAGACUUGCAGAAACACAGCUCAAGACUCAACUCUCAUUCAAGGCAGCUGUGGAUAUCAGAUGGAUAAUCAGCAAUAUCUACAGGGAUACCCUGUAGAGUUUAACCGAGCUGAUUGUAUUACAGAUGUUUCCAAAUCAUUCAUGGAUGAUCUUUCUCAGUGGUUUGCUGCUUCCCCAGAACAGAACUUCAAUGGCAUGGCAACCACAAUGAAUGGUGACCUGUCACCAGUGUUUGAAAGUACUCCAGUGUCAUCUAGUCUGGUUAAAGGUGAUACUUCUAUCAACUCACCAAUUGAGCAUCCAGCAACUUCUAUGCAAAGUUCCAUCACAAAUGCAUUCAGUGCUGAUGCUCAUGAGAAAUAUAUGACAAUUCAGAGUGCUGGAAAGGAUUUGUUUCAUGGUUUGGGAACAGUUCUCGGUGGUGGUCAAGUCCGUGAGUGCUGGGAAGAUAGUAUAAUGCCAGUAGUCAGUGCUGACUGCUUGGCUGCCGGAACUGAUUUGACCAAAGAGGCGGAAGUUGGUUCUGUGGCUGUCCCCCGGAGGGGGUUAUUCUCGGAAUUAGGACUAGAAGAGCUUCUAAAUGGAAUGAAUUCUACUUCAAGCUCUGUGACUAAAUGCAGUCUAGAAGACCAAUUAUCCACCAGGAAAAGGAAAUUAGAAAGUUCAUCUGUGGGCAGUAAUCAGGUACAGCUAGGAAGGCUUGCUGGUUCUGGAGGGAGCAUGCAUUUGACAGGACCUUUGUAUAACUUGGACAAGACAAACUGUCUUGUACCAAAGAAAGAGGUUCUCCCAAAAUCACAGGUGGGCUUAUGGAUCGAUGAUAGUUAUAGUGUCAAUGCUAGAAGUAUGUCUCAAGCAAAACCACAGAAGGCUGAGGAUCACACAAAGACCGCCAAGAAGAGGGCAAAGCCUGGAGAGAGUACUCGACCAAGGCCCAAGGAUCGUCAGCAGAUCCAAGACCGUAUGAAAGACUUGAGGGGGAUGAUUCCCAAUGGUGGCAAGGUACUUACUUCUUAUGCUCUCAGUGGAUACAAAUGGGAAGGGUGUUUUAUUUUCAUAUAAUACAAUGUCUCUAAAAUUAUAUUUUGACAUUCAUACAUAUUGUUAAUGAAGCAGUGUAGCAUUGAUGCUUUGCUGGACCGCACCAUCAAGUACAUGAUUUUCUUGCAAGGUGUGACGAAACAUGCUGAUAAGCUUAAACAACCUCAUGAGUCAAAGGUUAGUUGAUUUUGUUAUCAUUGUUAUAUGCAGCAGGAUAAGCCUGAACAUUUUUAUGUAUGAUGUUUCUUAACAAAUGUGAUACUAAUUUGUAUUCAUAUUGUAGCUGACUGGAAAGGAAAAUGGUGUGGUUCUAAAAGAUCACAGCAGUAUAUCUGGUGGUAACAAUACUUGGGCAUUAGCAGUUGAGGGUCAAAAUGUGGUUUGCCCUAUACUCGUUGAGGACCUUAGUACACCUGGCCAAAUGCUUAUUGAGGUAUGUCAAAGACACAUGGAUGAAAUUUUUCUUCAAGAGUUUUGACAACCUCAAUGUUCAGUCCCUCCUGACUGCAAUAUCUAUUAUCUCUUGCAGAUCCUCUGUGAGGAGCAUGGUUUCUUUCUUGAGUUAGCAGACGAAAUCCGGGGCUUUGGGUUGAAUAUCUUGAAGGGGGUGAUGGAGAGCCGCGAGGAGAAGAUAUGGGCGCGCUUUAUCGUUGAGGUGAAGAUCUAGUAAAAGAUAAAUAUGUUACCGAUGUUUCUUCUCUUUAUUCUUCAUAUUAGGACACUAAAUCUUAAAUUUUGUUACAGGCAACUAGGCAUAUAACCAGGAUAGAAGUAUUUUGGUCCCUUGUCCGGCUUCUUCAGCAAAAUGGUACCAGUGUGGUUGAUCCAACCAGUCGGCCCAGCAAUGUAGCAGACACUGGGUUUCCUCCUGUAUUGGAUAGUGUCCAGCCAUGUAGUUUUCCUCCUCCCAUCAGCUUGACAUGAGGUUCAAAACACUUUUGAUUGCUGCUGGAGUACCUUGAGCACUACUUCCGUGGGUGUGCAAUGAUAGGUGUUUUGGUAAUGGAAAAGGUGAUUGGCUACCGUCCCAUUGCCAGUUGCCUUAGAAAUAGUUGUGAGGUGUGUGCAUAAUGUUAAGAAGAAAGAGAUUAGGAUGUGAUGUGCCUUCAAAAAUUGUUGGUGCUGUUUUUGCGAGUUAGUUCCUCAAUUAGGAAAGGCUGUGCAAGGCACAGAACCAUGAUCAUAUGCUGAAGACAUGGUGAACUAGAGUCUGCGCGGCCUCCUCUUCUUUUAGUAGUUGGGAUUUCAUGUUUAUAUCUUCAACCAGAGUACAAACCCAGUAGUAGUAGUAGGCUGAUCACUGAUUUGUUUUCUUGGCCUUUCUGUUGUGGCUUAAUAUUAUUAUAGUAAUGAUGGAAUGUUGUCACUUCUCUUAUAUUCUCUCUGUCUAACACAAAAUAUGCAAAUAAGGAUCCAUACAACAUGUUCUGGGUUGGAAGGACUUAAAUUUCAUUGCCUCAUAGACCAGAGAACUUCAGUCUAAUUCUUAACACCAUUUAAGGGACAAUCUAUUAGAUGAUUUACAUAUCACGAUAGUACCAAAUUGAAGAAAGUUUUCGCCAUGUCAAUCUUGUUUACCUCAUACUUUUGAAGGAAGUAGUCAAGGAACUGAACAUAACUUGAUGAAGACACUGUGUUCAAUUUUUGCAUAAAGUGAUAUCAGCCCAGUUUCAACUGCUUAUCUGUCUCCAUUCUUACCUCUUGAUGUGACUGGUACAUAUCUGUUCUAUCUUUGAUCAGUAUCCUCCAUCACUUCCAAAGCAAGACGACUGUUCAAAGAUUUGAUACAGUACUAGCUACUUGGCUUUAAAUUUGUUCUUUUUACAUUGGAGAAUCUUUUAUGUUUCUGUUUUUUGUUGGAAAAAUGUAUCUUUGGAUUUGUGUAUCAGUGUAUUCAUAUACUGUUUAACUGUUACUCUACUGUAGAGUCUCAUCAAUCAUCACACACUAAAAUACGCUUAGACAUUUUAGCAUUAGGUACACAUCUCACUGAUGCAAAAGUUCAAAAUUAGGCAACUGUUGGUUCCAAGUUUUAAUUUCACAUAGGGACUACGGUGGACAACUACCGACGUUCUUGUGAGUUAAUAAUUUAGCAUUUAGAAUUCCAUAUGAGAAAAAAAAAAAAACUAAUUCUAAGGUUGAAACACAGUAAGCUUAAUGCAACUAGCUGAUGGUUUAAGCUUAUUGAGGUCUAGUACAGGUUUAGAUCAGCUUUCGGUAAAGUUUGGUGCUAAUACAUCUAAAAUUCUAUUUAAGAAAUGUAUGAUAAUCAGUCUGAUGAUAUUGUGGAGUAGUAGCUUUUUGAUGAUAGUUGAAAUAGCCUUUCAACUCGAUCAGUGCAUGCAGCUGUGGAAAGGCUCUUCAAGCUUGAGGAGGAGGAGAUAAGUGCUUUUUCCAUUCAACUAUUCAGAGUGAUACCAGCCAAGUUUCAACUGUAAUGCUCAACUUUAUGCAAGAAAAAUAUAUAAGCACCUUUAUUUGGAUCCUAUUCAUGACCUAAUUUCUUAUAUAUCAAAAUUGAAAUUGAGCCAUGUUGGGUUCUCCACUAUAGGUGAAACCCACUAUUGUUUUUGCUAAAGAUUUAGUAUUGGCUCUCUCUAAAAUUUGCCCUAUCUCUGUGAAACACCUAUGGAGUAACUUAAGCAACUGGGAAUAAGAUCGAUCUUAAAAAAAAAGAGAAGAUAAAAGAAUUGGGUCAUUCACAAAGGGGAAAAGGACAAGUUAGUUCUAAGACUACCGGUUUUUCCUAAAAGGACUUGGAAACAGAUUUUUCUUUUCCAGCUGAAUAGAAAAUAAUAGGGAGUUCUAUGCAAUUAGUGGGAAGAAAAGGACUUUUUUAAUAAGACAAAAGGGUUAUGCAAUUUUUUCACUAUUUAGUAUAUACCAUAGUACUAUGCAGAAUAAUAUUAGAGAUUGCAUUUCAUGAGUGGUGUUUCCUAAUUAUCUCAUCCAGUGAUCACAUGAACAGGAAACACAUGUAUAAGAAUAUAUUUAGUUAUACCUAUUUGUUCAUAGUGUGCUGAUGAUCUCACUAAAAAUUGUAGGACACAUUAUAUCACCGGUUGAUGAAGUUUGGUAGUAGGUCAUGAAGAUUUGGUUUAGGUCAUUAAGACUCUUUUCUCUUUCUGGGGCAUUAAGGAAAUGACAGUACUUAUUUACCAAUUAAUCUGAGAAGUUUUUUAUGAAACGAAAGAUGAAAGUCUGCAUAAAGUAGGUACUCACGCAACUAGUAGUUUUCUAGUUACAUCUGGUAAUUUUCCACUAGCCAAAUCCCCAUGUAGCCUUGAUGUUAAGUUUAUAUACCAACUGACAUAAGGAUAUUUAUCAGAUAUCAUUUUCGACUGCACUUUGCUCUUUGAUUUCUGAAGCAAAAGGGACUGAUUCAUAAUGUUGGUUUUGUUUGUAUAGAACUCUGAUAUGAAAUGCAAAUUCACCCUAUGUACCAGUUUUGAGGAUUAAACUUUAUAAAUACAAAUUUUGAUGAGCAGAGUAAAAUUAAAUGAAACUUCUAGAUUUCACACGUGUCCAACAAAAGAGGCCUCUAGCCUAUGACAUUGCCUUUCCAUGGAGAUUUGUUUAUAUACUUCAGUAGUCACUCAGCUUUCCUCACCAAAGCUUAACCAUUGCUUUGAGUUCCAUUUCAACUUAGAAGUUGGCAGUCACUUGUUUUCUUAUUGCCAAAAAUGGCUCAACAGAAGGAACUGAGAAGUGUGACUGAGUGGAGAAUAAAAAUGACAGAUGGUUCAUCUGAAGCUUUGGCGCCAGAAGCCGGGCUUGCCUGCCGAGCUUGGCUUGCUGUGAAGGGUCUGAUUAUGGGGUUGAUCUUGAAAGUAUGCAAUUUCUUCGAGAAAGCUUGGAAUUUGGGACAAAAUGAGCCUAGGAAAGUGAUUCAUUGUUUGAAAGUAGGGAUGGCACUCACUGUUGUUUCACUGUUUUAUUAUAUGAGACCUUUGUAUGAAGGUAUGGGAGGAAAUGCUAUGUGGGCAGUCAUGACUAUUGUGGUUGUCUUUGAAAACACAGUUGGUAAGUUCCUAGCUAGCUUCUCUUAGAUUACCUAAUUUUCUACAAGUGUGUCUUUAUUAGGAGGCACGGUAAAAUGGGUCUUUUUGAGUUUCCUUAUCUGUAUGGGACUAUCUGGUGUUAAGUACGGCCCUCAUUGCCUGAAGCUAAUCAUUUCACUCUCUAAAUGCAGGGGCAACAAUAUGUAAAUGUUUAAACAGAAUUUGUGGAACCUUUAUUGCUGGUUCCCUUGCCAUUGGCAUCCAUUGGAUAGUGAGUCAAUCAGGAAAAGAAUUUGAGCCUUUCAUCAAUGGGAUUUCUGUAUUCUUGUUAGGUAUGUAGUCCUACUAAUGUUUUUCCCUCUCCAAACUGGAUAUAUAAGACUACUAAUGCGGUUCUUUAUUAUUUCAGCUUCUGCAGUUACCUUCUCAAGAUUCAUACCAUCAGUGAAAAAGCGAUUUGAUUAUGGUGCGAUGAUCUUCAUCCUCACAUUCAGUUUAGUUACAGUGUCAGGCUACCGGGUGGAUAAAUUAUUGGAAUUGGCCAACAAUAGAGUCUACACCAUCAUCAUUGGAACUGCAUUGUGCAUUAUGAUAACCAUGAUUAUUUGUCCCAUUUGGGCUGGGGAGGAACUAUAUAUGCUCAUCACUCGAAACAUGGACAAACUUGCCUAUUCCUUAGAUGGUACUUGCAUACUCAAAUCACAUAAAACCAAAUUUAUGGUCAAUCAUGUUUAGGACAAUAUCACCGACUUUAUAAGUGUUGCAUUAUAUUUCAGGUUGUGUUGGAGAGUAUUUCAAUGAUAGUGGAAGCUCUUCUGAUGAUGACAAGGAAUGUGAUAAGAAAUUUCUUGGCUACAAAUGUGUUUUAACCUCCAAAGCAACAGAAGAAGCCAUGGUAUUUAACAACAACAUAAUUGCAAAGUUUCUUCAAGUUACCGUAUGUAAUCACUUUCUGACAUUGCCAUUGUAUAUUAUAGGCUAAUUUUGCAAGGUGGGAGCCUGCACAUGGCCGCUUCAACUUCAGACAUCCAUGGAAACAAUACCUCAAAGUCGGGGCAUCAAUGCGUGCUUGUGCCUAUUGCAUCGAUGCCCUUGAUGGUUGUGUGAAUUCCGAAAAUGAGGUAACAAAAGAUCUGUCAUCUUAUAUUAGUUCUUGAAAAUGAGGUAACAAAAGAUAUCACCAAUGCUAAGCUUCAACCACUUCAUCUGACCAACAGGUUCCUGAGUCGAUGAAGAAGCAUAUGAGCAACAUUGCUUUGAAAGUGAGCUCUGAGUCUUCAAGAGUCAUAAAAGAGCUUGCAAGGACUAUGAAGACAAUGACGAAAUCAUCUACUGUAGAUUAUUUAGUUGGAGAGAUGAACAAUGCAGUCUUGGAGCUUCAGGAGGACUUAAAAUCUCUUCCUACUUCAUUUAUUAAUCCGCAGCCACUACAAGGAGCCGACUGUCCUGAAAAAAAGAAAACCAGAACAGUUGCUCUCAUGGAUAUCAUGCCACUUGUGACUUUAACUUCUUUACUCAUUGAGAUUACUACAAGGAUUGAAGGCAUGGUUAAUGAAGUUGAAGAACUAGCUGAGAUGGGUGAGUACAAGUCUGUUGCAGAUGAGAAGAAUCAAAAACAGCCAGCAGUUAGUAAAACUAAUGUACCAGAUGAACAUAAGGAAGAGGUGUGAGAGUUGUGUAUAAUGGUGAUUGGUAGAUUUUCAUAUUACUAAAGAUUGUGCUGUAAAUUACGAAAUCUAACAACUUGGGUCACAGUUAAAUCUAUUUUUGACUAUGUCAUUCUCAAUUUCUCACUAGUAAAAUAGUCUUUGUUGGUCCCUUUUUUUAAUUUGAAUGAAAUGUGCUUCAAUCAGUUUCAUUUUUCUAGUACUAAUUAUAUGAGUACAUCCUACAAACUUUUAAACCAGCUGAACAAUCAGAUAGAAUCUGCACAAAUAAACUAAACUGAAAAACAGAAAAGUCAAAUUGCAUGAAAGUGAAAGAGAUCAGUAUAGUCUUGGGGUAAAAGAAUAUGAGUAUGAAGAUUUGUGUAUAUUGAUAUGUGAAAUAGAUAUACAGCACUCUUACAUAUAUACAAUGAGAAUGAAACUAUUCUAGGAUAGUAUCAAGUCUAAUUAUCUAAAUAUAAUUCUGAUCCAACAAUCACUCUAAUUGCUGAAAUCAUUCCAUUGAUACAAAUAAUCAUUUGAACCUGAUUUUCUUCCUUUAAUAUGGGGCUUUGUUGGAAGUCCAUGCAUACAUUGGUGGUAAUAAAUAGAGAACCAAUCUCUCAAUAUUGUGUAAUUUUGAUAGUUGAAUUAGUAUUUUAAAGCAGUGCAUGCAGCUGUGGUCCUGUGGAGAUGAGUGCUUUUUGCAGCCAAGUGAUAUCAGAAACAACCAAAUGCAGCCCAGUUUUCAACUUCAGUGUAAUGCUCAACUUUAUGCAAAGAUACGGGUACCUCAACUUGGUUCAAUUCAUGACCUAAUUUUCUCCUGUUUCAAAUUAAAUAAAAUCAUUUCAUAUAGAUUUAUAGGGCUCUCCACUACAGAUGACACUCACUAUUGAUUUGGUUAAAGAUCUAAGCUUUGCCCUGUCACUGAGAAACAGCUGUAAGAUAAGAAACUAAGGCCAUAGACGAUUUGACGUUGAAAAGAUAUGGGAGGCGUAUGCAAUUAGUUGGGAAUCAGAGGACUUGUUCUUAUAGUAAGACAGAAAAGAGAAUUAUAUAUUAUGAGACUGCAACUAUUCAAUAGAAGAUCCUCACCACAAUACACAAUAUCAACAUAGUUUUUAUUUCUUAAGUGGUGUUUCCUAAUUAACUUAUCCAGGGGAAGCAGAUGAAAGAGGUAUCUGAUCACACACCCACUUAAGAAAAAGAGAAUACACAAGAAUUAUUUAACACACAUUAUCAAUGACAUCAUUAUGUGUGUAUAAAUUUAGACAUACUUGAUCAUAGUGCUCUCCUUUGCAUAUUCAAUUGCAGCUUAGGAGACAUUAUGUCACCAGUUCUGUUCAUGAAGGUAUGUUUUAGGUCAUCGAAAUAUGAUUUUAGGUUUGGUUUUUCUGUAAUCAACGAUUUUGUUCCACUAGUGUAAUUAUUGAACUAAAAAGAUGAAAAGAUGACAUAUCUGCCGAUAUAUUGCUCAAAGCAUGACUAUUAACAAGUGCAGUAUUCCAAGUUUGAACACUACCAGCCUUUUGGUUUCAGAUGACAAACUGAUAAUGAUGGUUUAUUCCAAGAUUGGAUAUGACUGUGCAGACUGAUUAACAAUCUAGUUUUGGUGUCAAUUUAGAGAGGGAGGAGGAGGAGGUUAUAAUACAAGUUCUACAUCCUCACAUGUGUCCAAAACUAAAAAGAUUUGCAAUGGCCUCUAGCCUCUGAGAUUGCCUUUCCAUAGGAAAUUUGUUUAUGCGUUAGUGCUUGUUUGUGUAUUGCAGACCUCUGUUGAUACAGGAUAUCCACUCAAUAAAUCUGUGCUAUUUCCUCACCAACUCAUGACAUUUUUGUUUCAACUUAUAUUAAAGGAAAGAAGUGAUCCACUGUUAUGCAUUCAAGUAUUGAAGAUAUGAUGGAGAAAAUAGUGGAUCGGUGAUCAUGUCUGUGAAUGUUUAUAGGAUCUUGAUUCUGUGUAAUUGUGCUUUGCUAAAAUAGAACUCCUUGUUAGAUGUAUAUAUAUCAAAUCGUUGUACUAUUAACAAUAUCAAUAUACAAAACCUUUACAUCCACAUCUCUAUACAUUUCUAUAAUUAGAAGUUGAAAAUCAAUAUAGUCAUAUUGCAAAAAUGGCUCAUCUGUUUGGCUCGAUAGUCAGUGAGAUUUUUAAUUGACCCUGGCGUAGUUUGAGAAGGGUUGGUGUUGAAAAUGUGGAACUUCAUGGAGAAAUCUUGGAAAGGUGAUUCUGGUCUCAAGAUUGGGUUGGCACUUGCUGCUGUCUCAUGAGUCAUGACCUUUCUAUAUGAAGGCGCCGGAGAAAAUGCCAUGUGGGCGGUUAUGACAGUUGUGGUUGUCUUCAGAUACGUACUGUUGGUAAGUUAUAGUUUCCUCCAUCUUUGAGUUUCCUGCAAUAGAAAGUUUAUCUUCAAAUUCUUGUAAUCAGGACAAAUUUUUUUCAUAAAGUGAUAAAACUGAUAUCCUUUUGCUACAGAAGCAAUAAUGUUCACUUGCCAUAACAAGCCAUCUCUUGAAACUUUCAUAUUACACAAAUAGGAAACAUAUAACAGGAUCCUGCUUCCACAUGAUUGGGAAGCCGGUUAACCAUUCUGAGCCUUUUUCCAAUACAAGCCUGUAUGCCUAUACAGACAGUCUCCUAACCCCUGGAUUAGUUAGUCCAAAUUGUGUGGCAUACAUAGCGCCUGUACAACAGAACUUUCAUAUGAUCCUGACAUGAUACUUGGUUCGAGAAGACCAGCUCAGAGUUUAUCGGAACCCUUAAUUUAAUAGGCUCUGAAAGUCUGAAUCUGUUUGCAACAUGAAGAUCUCAUAAGGUAGAGAAACAUCCUCUACUUGUUCUUCCAUUGUUGUUAAGAAGACAAGUAAUUCCAUAAAAAUGAUAUCUGAAACAAUCACAGUCCCUUGCAAAAUAUAUCUGACCAUUGUCUUUUAACAUAUUGCCUAUAACAGGAUUAACAGCUAGCCUUUAUUUAGCCUUGAUGAGCUGACUUGAGAGAAAAGUAGCCCAACUGUGAGGGGAAAGGUGAAAGAUCAGGAAGUAGUCUCCGAUUUUCUUCAUUUGACUCCUUCCCCUUAUCUAUCUUUGCCUCAUUCUCCUCCUCCUGCUUUUCACUUGGAAGGGUAUAAGGUGAUCUGCUGAUGACCCUACAAAGGCACAAAAUGUAAACAAUGAUUAAGGUAUUUCUUUUCUAAAAUUUAAGUACUAACUGGUGAACGUGUUUAGUACUCUAAAUCACUGAUAUCGACUAGCUAUUAGUUUGGUGGUACUUUUUAUACUGUAUGAUGUAUGAGAAAUUUGAUUAAGAAGGAUCCUAACAGGAUCAUAAAUUUACCUGUCCCUGCGCUUUUCAAGAAAACGUUGCAGAGAAUAUCUUCUUGCCAAAGGUAUCCCUGAAAAAGGCAAAUGAAAUUGAACUAGUUUGUUAUCAUUAUAGCACUAAUUACAAAAAUCUUAUAAAAACCAAAUUGAAAGUAUCUGCUAUUCAUGGAAUCGGUUUAAUCUUAAUCCGAUUUGGUUUACAGAAGAUAACAGCUCAUUAACUAUUAAGGUGAAAAAGAACUUUAUACCUGCUCUUAACUUGGAAACCGAUAGUAACUCUGACUUGUUGGAUGGUUUUCUCACAUCUGGCUUUGCCCUUUCUGCAACCACUGGUUUCAGUGAUGAGCUCUCACCAGCUAGACGCAAAAUUUCUUGAGCCUACAAAGAUAAUAUCGAAAUGUGCGCAUGAUUAAACAAAGUUACAGUUAUUCUAUGCAAGUCAAUUUUAGGCCUGAAACAGCCAGUUUCCCUUAUAUCAGGCCAUGAGUGAACAUAAGAGACUAAGAGUUAAACGUAAACGUUUGAAGAAACUGAAAAUUUGCCAGCUGCAACAUAGCAUCCAUGGGUUGCAUAAGCUCUGAGCAUGUGUUAUUUUCUGAAAAUGAUAUCAGGAAUAUCUGCAUAUAUUUAACUUGAAAAUCUUAAUUUUCACCUUAUCAACAGGAAUGUUGUUGUAGACAUUGAUAACGCCAUCGAAGAAUAUUGUGAGUUGUUUCGUCGUCUUGUCCUUUGAUGGAGUUGCUUCUACUUCACCACUUGAUCUAUACUUGUAUAUAUGCAAGUGCAACAACAAAGAUGUAAGGGGAGUAAUGUCAUACAUUUGUUUGAUUUUAUAUAAAGUAAAAGAAAAAUUAAGAAAUAAACUAAUUACAUGCCUACCGCAGUUGUGGAAGCAACACUUGCUCUAGCAAAGAUGGCAGUCGUCUGAGAUUAUUCCGAGGGAAAUCUGUUUUGCCAUCAACUUCCAUUUUCGUUCUAGUAUUCAUGUUGUUUUGAUUUUUUGUCAAGAGAUACUUUUUGAACAACCAAAUAACACUCUCAGAUUUACUGUCAUUUCUUGUUGAUUUGAAGCUACUAUUUCUUUGCUGGUCAUCUAGCGUUUCAGAACAAGAAUUAGAUAGUGCAUCAUCAUUUGUAUGAUUGUUAUCCUUUGUGGUUAUAAUAGGAGUGCUGCAAGACAUGCUCUCCUGAUGAGUAGCUAGACAGAGAAGCCUUCUUUUUUUUUUUUUGGUGAGACAGAGAAGCCUUCAAGCCUAUGAUAUCAAACAGAAAAUUGUUUAAAUGAAACUACAUAUCAAAUAAACCUAACCAACUCAAGCUUCACACAAGGCGUACAUAGAACUGGUUUAAUUAGGUUCAUAUGCAAAGGUUAUAUGCGAAAACUAGAGGAAUGAGGUUGGUAAUCUAAACGAAUAUCAGAAUAUAAUGUGAUAAAUUAUGAGUGAAUAACUAAACGAUGCUUCAUUUAGCUGGAGUUCUGCAAGCACUGUCUUAUUCGAAUGAUGGACUUUGAUCCUUGAACCACAAGCUCUAGGGAGAAAAUCCACAAACUAGUGUAAUGGCGUAUCUUUAAAGAAAGAAGAUAGAGAUAGACAUAAAUGUGUACCUGAAUGUAGUUAGGCUAGUUUGAGUUCUCAGCAGUGUGCAUCAGCUCUUUUAGUUUGAAUAUAUAUAUAGAAAGGGAGCACUGAAGUACUGUAAUUGGGAGUGUCGCCAGGGGAGAAAUUGCUGCUAAUGAAAGGGUACACUACAUGGAGUAAAGGGUAAGGCCUUCGAUGCAUACGAAAUCAAGUUUAACUCAUCUCCAUGUUUGCAUCUGGUUCUCAAUUCGAAUAAUUAUUUUCCCUCUUAUUUUCUUAUAUCUAAAUUGUCACUAUCCAGAUCAAAAAGAAAAAAACAAAUACUCUAUCUGCACAUUUAUGAAAAAUACAACUUCAAAAUAGAAUAACAAACAAGUAAUCACGAGUAAAUUAGGCAUAUUGGUUAAAAGGAAGCAACAAAUAUGAUGCCCCAGACAAGCAUAACAAUUUUAUUUCAUGUCGGGCAUUGCAAAGCACAUGUGAUCAUUUGACUUCCUCGUCCUGGCUGCUGGCGUGAGAUCUUCAUUAGAGAUUCUUUAUAUCGUCAAUUCGGUAGUGUUUCUCUUCCACAAUAUCGGAAGAGGUUAAAGGUUCUGAACCAAAAUAGAAACUAUUAGCAAUUGUCCGGCAAGAAAAAUGUCAAAUCCAUAGUGUUUAACAGGAAAAAAAUUGAAGGGUUUAAAUGUUGGAGACAUUGAUGAUAUUGGAUUUUGACUCUAGGUUUAGAUGGUAACUCAUAAACUAGAUAGAGAUCAUUCUUACAUUUACCUCAUGAACUUGUUUCUUCAUUUGGGGUACGGUACGUCAUCCCGUUUUGACCCAACUUGAUCCUUGUGAUCACAAAUCAUUCCCUUACAAAAUUCACAUUCCAGUAAAAAAGUCUUUACCUUCAUCUCUUUCUCAGACUAUUGCCUUCCAAAUGCAUCAAAAUCCAUUCUCAAAAAAAAAAAAAAAAACAAUCAAAAUCCAGAUUCCACUCUUGCAGUUCAUGUCCCAAGUGUUUAAUCGAGUUGGUGAACUAAUACAUAUAUUCUUGCCUUAGUUUUUCCUCAUGAUUUGAUGAGUUUCUGUUCUUUUUCCAGUUGGAGUGGGAACAACUCACAAUCCUUGUAGGAGAAGGAUUCCCCUCUGCGUUGAUUAUAUAUAUGACUACUGCUCGAAGACCAACCAACGGAACCAAGCAUGUGUAGAGUGAUUAAUUAUUACACUAGAUUCGUGUGUCGAGUACAAGGCACCGGUGGAACCCCGGUCCCCGCGGACAUGCUCUUGAUCAGAUUUAAGUUAGUCCGGCAAUACGGAAGCCACCUCUCGACUGACGAUCCAACACUUACUACGUAUUGUUAGAACCAAUCCAAUAUCCGUUCAAAAACAGUAUAUAUAUAACAAUGAAAUCAAAACGAAAUUGAAAAAAUAACAAUGAAAACAAACAACACUAACUUGAUUGAUCAGAUAGAGGCCUGCCUUGCAGUGACCUAAGACAUAAAUUCGUCCCCACUUGUGCUGCAGUUUCGGACGUCUAUCUAGAGGAUAUAACUAUCUGGUUCAAGUUCUUGCACCCUGGCGAAUUUACUUUAUGCUUCAGAAGAAAUAGUUUUGGAGAGGAAGAAGAAGAAUGAUUCGAUGAUAAAAACAACGACAGAAGUCAUCUUUAUAUAAAAGUCAAUUUAAACAGGUAUAACUGUUCGGACAGACACAACUGCUCGGACAGUUGUAACUGUUUGGACAGUUAUGUCUUUUGAUAUUUAUCCAAAUUUAAUAAUUAAAUUAAAUAAUAUUAAUUUCCAAAAAGUUAAAUUUGGAUUUAAUCAACAUAUAUUAAUAUAUAUAUAUAUUUAUUCAUUUCUAUUGGAAACCCAAUAGAAAGCUCACUAAGCCCAUAUUAGGUCUAUCAUCCAUUUAAUGAGUUACAUGGGUGUUUCCAUAUAAAGACUCACACAUUUAAUUCUUCUUCAAUGUGGGAUAAAUACCACACAAGUUCCAACACGUAUAGUAUUGGGAACUUCUUGCCGAAAGAGAAGUUAUGGUCCCUAUCUCCGAUUUCAAGCUCUUAUCGGAAAGGCCUCAGUGGACAAAACGCAUGGCUGAUACCCUGUUUGACAUGGGUGUGCCAAGGCGGGAGCACCUGAGGAUCAUCAAAAGUAUAUUUACAAUGGCUAAAAAUGCUGUUCCCGGGACGUCUAUUUGUGCAGCGAUAGGGGACGCCGCUCUUCAUAUAAUAGAGAAUAAUGAGACUAGUAGUGUGUACUAUUCCAGUACUAGUGCACAUAUGUUUAACCGGGACAUAUUGAUGACUCCUGCGGCGAAAUCUUGCCUUGAGGGUUUGGAGAAAGUGAGAGUAGAUGAUGAUAUUAUUAGAGAGACGCCGUCAUGUGUUAUGUCACGAAGACCUUGAUCACUUUGACAAUGAUGUUGCAAAAGAAGAAGAAGGGGUACUUGAUCUUGAUCUUGAUCAUCAACCCUUGAUGAUUACCCGCUUGCCGUGCUCACACCAUUUUCAUGGAUACUGUAUUGUCCGGUGGCUCAAGAUUCAGCACUUAUGUCCCGUGUGCCGAUAUCCAAUGCCAAUUGAGGAAGAGACUGACAGGCCUAAAUCCAAAAGACACAGGGUAAUGUGAAAUAUCUAGUUACCUGCCUACCUACCUAAACUGUUGUUUAUGCUAGCUAGUUUCGAUUUCUCAUGAUACUGGAUGUGGGAUCUUGUAUUUUAUUUCUCUUUAUUUCUCUCUCUCUCACAAUCUCUAAUGAAGAUGAUGUCUAUUUGUGUUUUACAUUCUUGCAUGUGGCAUCAAUUGUAAGGUUGACUUUCAGUUCGACAUUCGUUUUCCGUAGGCGAUUUCAUUGUGAUUAUUCAACUACUGCAUAAGAAUUGGGGUUGAAUGUGGAAAAGGGUUUAGCUGGGUACGUAAUGUAUGGAUUCAAUAAGGUUUAACUUGUUGAUACAGGAUAUCCACUCAAUAAAUCUGUGUGCUAUUUCCUCACCAACUCAUGACAUUCUCUAUGGAUAUUCUAUAAUUUCUAUUGGUAUGUGGUUUGUUUCUAUUGUAACAUGUCUUUUAGCUUGGGAUCAGAAACUAAGAGGCAUAACUGCUCAUUGGUUCAAAUUGUCUCUUGAUUAUAUUCACACCUGUAGAAGUGACUGAUGUCUCUGAGAUAAUGUAAUCUACACAAAUUCAUGGAUACUAAAUCACAAUCAAGGAACAAGGACACAUGAUCCUAUAUGGUAGUCUUAAUCUCUAGUUUUACAUCACUCUAUAUUGCAUUUCCUUCAAUGAUUUUUAUCUUGUACAUAGAUCAAAAGCCUCAUAUUGAAAUACUGUUGGGAAUUCCUUUUCCAGUGAGUGUCCACCCUCUCUAGAGUAAUCUGAGGUGCUGGGAUAGAGAAAGGUAUACGGCAUCUUGAUGGGCCCAACUCUGUUCUUCAAUCUCUCAUCUUUGUUCCUUUCUGUAAUUCUGUUCUCAAUUUCUAUCAGCUUCUUUCCGAAUCUAUCAAAUGCUGCUCGUGCCUCACCAUCUGAAGUCCACUCAAGAGUAUCUCUCGGAUAAGCAGUUUGCAGUCCUUGGUUUAUAGUUGUUAGUUUUUAACUUGUAUGUCUUUUGCACUAUCCAUCACGUGAGUUCUUUGUCAUUCCACAUAACUAACAGGAGAUCAUUGUAUUAAAUCUCUGCAGGAGGUGAAGUUAGUUUUGAUGAUUUUUUUGCAGAAGAGAAGAAACUAUUCCAAAGAGCUGUUGCAUCUGGGAAACUGAGCAAGAUGAUCAAGCCUUGGGAUCCUUGGUGGUUGAAGCCUUCUGCUAGAACAAUAUCGUUCAGCAAAGAAGGAACUCAACUAAUUCAACCGCUUGCCAAAGAGGAUGAAACAAUGUCAACAGAAGAUGAUCUAGAAAGUAGUCAAGCAAGUGAGAUUCCACCGGGUCCUGAUACACCACUGCCUCCCCUCAGCAAGCUUAGCUCCGCAAAGCCAUCACCAUUCUUAGUUGUUCAUCUGGUCGACAUUAUAUACAGCUACUGCUUAGUCCUGGAAGCUCUAUCUUACUGCCUGGAGUAAGUUGAGGAGACUGAGUGAUAAAGUAGUUUGAGGUUCACAUCCAAAACUAAUUGACAAUGGAUGGAGAGGCUCAAACCCUUAUUAACCCACAGGCAAGGUCUCAUAUUCCCGAUGUGGGAUUGAUAUCUCAACACACCCCCGCACGUGUAGCGAAUCUUUAAGCCUAACACGUGGACAACAUUUGGGGUGACAUGUAGUUCGUGUGGCCAUUGGGCUUCACACGUGGACGUGGGUAACCCGCUCUGAUACCAUAAUAAAGUAGUAUGAGGUUCACAUCCAAAACCAAUUGGCAAUGGAUGGAGAGGCCCAAACCCUUAUUAACCCACAAGCAAAGUCUCAUAUUCUCGAUGUGGGAUUGAUAUCUCAACACUUAGAGGAAAAUUGACUUCCUCAUGUGUUGGGUCCAUGAGCUACCUGGUGAAGCUUGGUCUUCCUUAGGAGCCAUCGUAAGGGCAGAGAAAACCUUAGCUAUGAACUAUGAAGAAGCUGUUUCAAGGUCUCGCAAACCGGACAACAAAUAUGAACCCAGGAGAUCUAGGCAGUCCCUGCUUCUUGUUAAACAUGAGCACUGUUGUAUUGACUUGUAAAUGUUUAAGCGAUUUUUUGUUAGGUGCUGCUAAAUAUACCAAACAAACUUCUAAAUAGACUCGACAAAAAAUUUUAUUUUUAAAAUAUAUCAAAUAAAACCAACUUUGUCCUAAACUACCCUUAUCUUGCACCCUGCAAAAAUCCAAAGACGAUGAAAACUUCGGGUCGUCUUAAACACAGAGGGAGAGAGAGGAUUGAGAAAAAUGUAAUUUCGUUGCGUCUUUGUGAAUGGCUUUAUGAGAAUUUUCCAUUUGAGAGAUAAGGCUUGACCUGGGUUUCAAGGUGUGGAGGACAAAAAUUGGUGAGAGAUAUUGAUCGCAAAUUAAAUUGCUGGUUUUUGUUUUUGGGUUCUGGGUUAAUUGCAAGGUGUGUUCAAUUCGGACUUGUAUGAGUUUCAAUAUCUAUAGCAAAUUACAUUAAAGUUACUAACCAAAUUUUAGUUUACAAAUACAUCAAUUACACAUUAUUUUAUACAUUUAAAGACAAAAUUUAACAAAUUAGGACAAAUUAAUGUCCAUAUGCUAAUUGUCACUACAAUUUUACCAAAUUACCCUUCAUUACAAAUUCUACUGCUACUGCCCACAGCCCCACGAGAAAUGUGCUACUGCCAAGUAAGAAGGUGCUGCUGCCGACGAAAAAUGUGCUACUACCAUCUGUCACUUCAUUACAUAUUCUACUGCUACUGCCCACAACCCCACGAGAAAUGUGCUACUGCCAACAAAAAAUGUGCUACUGUUGUCACUGUUGUAAUUGUUUUCCGACAACUCUCUGAUGCUGGCGCGCUGCUAUUGCCGACUCUGAUGCUUGAGCGCUGCUACUACCAACUCUAAUGCUAGAGCGCUGCUACUGUCUUCUGUAAGAUUCAUUUCAAAACAUGUAUUGUAUUUGAAUUAGUGAGACAUUGAUUUUUUUUACNNNNNNNNNNNNNNNNNNNNAGAAGCAAGUAAACUAUCAUUAGUACCAAUAGGAACAUCAUGACCACCUGUAGCACAUCCUUCAUCAAAACCACCAUCAACACCUCCAGUAUAACCGUUUCCUCCAUCAACACCAUUUACAACUCCAAAAUUUAGAUUCUCACUUUGAUUCUGACAAUUAACUGCAGUACUAACACUUCCAUCAUGAUUUGCAACAUUACUAAUAUCAGAACUAGUAGUGACAUUACUAGUAUUCCCCCUCUCAACUGAGGCAGGGACCACUGCAGAAGGAGAACCAGAGAAAGGACCAGGUCUCAACAUUGGGGAAGGAGAAGAUGGAAGAGAAAGAGACAGAGAAAAAGGAAAAAUUGUUUCAUCAUGAACAACAUGUCGACACAUGAAUAAUUUAUUUUUAGAAGGACAAUAGCAGAACACCCCUUUAAAUCCUAAGGCAUAGCCAAGAAAGACACACUGAGAGGACCUUGGAUCAAGCUUGUCAUGAGCAUAAGGCCUAAGAUAAGGAUAGCAGGCUGAACCAAAAAUUCUCAAAGAUGAGAGAUCGGGAGGAGAACCAAAGAAUUUGAUAUAAGGAGAAGACAUAUCCAAAAAACGACAAGGCAUCCUAUUUAUGAGAAAUGCAGAAUGAGCUACUGCAUGAAACCAAAAAGGUUUAGGAAUGCUAGCAGCUGACAUGAGAGUUAUGGCAGUUUCAACAACAUGUCGAUUCUUUCUCUCAGCAACACCGUUUUGUUGAGGUGUAUAUGGACAAGUAAUGAGAUGGAGAAUACCAUGAGAGGAAAGAUAAUUCUUAAAUGCAUUACUAUUAUAUUCUCCACCUCCAUCAGUUUGAAUAGAUUGAAUAACACCAUGAAAUUGUGUAUGAACAAACUGAUAAAACUUAACAAAUGUAACAUAAGCAUCAGAUUUAUUAGUAAGUGGAUAUAACCACAAGAAUCUGGUACAAUCAUCAAUGAAAGUGAUGAUAUCUGGAUUGGAGAUACUGGAGCUACUCAUCAUAUGACCUCAGACUUGAUGACUCUUUCUAUUGCCAAGCCAUAUGAGUCUGCUAAUACCAUCACUAUUGGAAAUGGAUCAGGUUUGCAAAUCAAACACAUUGGUGAUACUACUUUAACUCCUGAGCACCAUACUUUUAAGUUAUGUAAUGUGCUUCAUGUGCCUCAAUUAGCUGUGAACUUGCUCUCCUUUAAUAAACUGUGCAAGGAUAACCAUUGUUUUAUAACAAUGGAUGGUAUUGACAUAUGUGUGCAGGACAAGGUCUCAAAGGCUCCUCUCUUCAGAGGAAAGAGUAAUGGGGAAGGACUCUAUCUUUUCAGAUCUCCAAAACUUACUUCUUCAUGUCCUUCAGCUUUUGUUAGUACUGUGAAGUGCACUAUCUGGCAUCACAGACUUGGUCAUCCAACUGAUGAAGUUGUUUCCAAGAUGCUUUCUCUUUCCAAUGUUAAGUCUAAGUCUGAUAAUAAGCCACAUGUUUGUGUCUCUUGUCUUACUGGAAAAAUGCAUAAGCUUCCUUUUUCAGAGUCUGUGUCUAGAACUACUGUUCCUUUUUAGAAAGUUCAUUCUGAUGUAUGGGGCCCUGCUCCAUGUCUUUCUGUGGAAGGACAUAGAUAUUACAUCACUUUCAUUGAUGAUUGUACCAGAUUCUUGUGGUUAUAUCCACUUACUAAUAAAUCUGAUACUUAUGCUACAUUUGUUAAGUUUUGUCAGUUUGUUCAUACACAAUUUCAUGGUGUUAUUCAAUCUAUUCAAACUGAUGGAGGUGGAGAAUAUAAUAGUAAUGCAUUUAAGAAUUAUCUUUCCUCUCAUGGUAUUCUCCAUCUCAUUACUUGUCCAUAUAUACCUCAACAAAACGGUGUUGCUGAGAGAAAGAAUCGACAUGUUGUUGAAACUGCCAUAACUCUCAUGUCAGCUGCUAGCAUUCCUAAACCUUUUUGGUUUCAUGCAGUAGCUCAUUCUGCAUUUCUCAUAAAUAGGAUGCCUUGUCGUUUUUUGGAUAUGUCUUCUCCUUAUAUCAAAUUCUUUGGUUCUCCUCCCGAUCUCUCAUCUUUGAGAAUUUUUGGUUCAGCCUGCUAUCCUUAUCUUAGGCCUUAUGCUCAUGACAAGCUUGAACCAAGGUCCUCUCAGUGUGUCUUUCUUGGCUAUGCCUUAGGAUUUAAGGGGGUGUUCUGUUAUUGUCCUUCUAAAAAUAAAUUGUUCAUGUGUCGACAUGUUGUUCAUGAUGAAACAGUUUUUCCUUUUUCUCUGUCUCUUUCUCUUCCAUCUUCUCCUUCCCCAAUGCUGAGACCUGGUCCUUUCUCUGGUUCUCCUUCUGCAGUGGUCCCUGCCUCAGUUGAGAGGGGGAAUACUAGUAAUGUCACUACUAGUUCUGAUAUUAGUAAUGUUGCAAAUCAUGAUGGAAGUGUUAGUACUGCAGUUAAUUGUCAGAAUCAAAAUGAGAAUCUAAAUUUUGGAGUUGUAAAUGGUGUUGAUGGAGGAAACGGUUAUACUGGAGGUGUUGAUGGUGGUUUUGAUGAAGGAUGUGCUACAGGUGGUCAUGAUAUUCCUAUUGGUACUAAUGAUAGUUUACUUGCUUCUAUUUUGCCUCAAGAAAUUCAGUUUAUCAAUGAUUCUGCUACUUCCUAUAAUAACCACUCUAUGUUGACCCGUGCAAAGAAUGAGAUUUUUAAGAAGAAGNNNNNNNNNNNNNNNNNNNNCACGAGAAAUGUGCUACUGCCAAGUAAGAAGGUGCUGCUGCCGACGAAAAAUGUGCUACUACCAUCUGUCACUUCAUUACAUAUUCUACUGCUACUGCCCACAACCCCACGAGAAAUGUGCUACUGCCAACAAAAAAUGUGCUACUGUUGUCACUGUUGUAAUUGUUUUCCGACAACUCUCUGAUGCUGGCGCGCUGCUAUUGCCGACUCUGAUGCUUGAGCGCUGCUACUACCAACUCUAAUGCUAGAGCGCUGCUACUGUCUUCUGUAAGAUUCAUUUCAAAACAUGUAUUGUAUUUGAAUUAGUGAGACAUUGAUUUUUUUUACUUUCUAUUUUUUGAAAGUGAAGACAGAAUCUAUGGGUGCUACUGUAUCUGGUUUUUUUGAACAUGUAUUUUUUGAAAGUGAUCGGCUGGUUCCCAUUUUAUGUUUGAUAGCACUGCUACUGGCCUAAAGCUAAUGAGACUAUUACAUAUUAAUACCAUUGCUACUGAGCAACAAAAUUAAUCCAGUACAGUUAUUUUGCUAUAGUUCCCAUUGCAAAGCAACACCCAAACAAGAGUAACCAAACUCCAGCCAACAAUAUCAGCAUAAUGCUUAGCCUCGGUAUCAAAACUAAUCUCAAAUUGCUAAUGAUGCCCAACAUUAUAUGCAAAACAUGGAAUUAAAUUUUUGCAAGAUAAAAAAUCGAACAAAAUUUUAAGCAAAUUGGGAAAGCAAAGAUUAGGAACCACAAGAAACGAUCUAUAUGGCUCAGAUUCCUCAACUUACAUGUAGCGGCAAAUUUACCCAAUCGAAAAGAACAGUUGAAAUUACCCUAUCAAGUAGAACAGUAGCAUCAAUUCCUUGUAGCGGUCUCCAUCGAUAGCCUCUGCGGCCAACAGCUUUCCCCUUGUACUCCGAAAAAACUACGUUGGAAACCUCGAGCCGCUCUCCCGGCGGACAACGGCGACCUUUUCCACAGCUUCUCCCCACAACACCGCGGCAUGAGAUCGCCGCUCUGCUUCAUGAUGUCGGUCUACUCCGUGAACCUAAUCGGUUGAUAGGCAGCGCAAGACUGACCCGAAGCUUGAUCCAAUGCCGUUGGAGAGAGAGAGAGAGAGAGAGAGAGAGAGAGAGAGAGAGAGAGAGAGAGAGAGAGAGAGAUANAGAGAGAGAGAGAGAGNNNNNNNNNNNNNNNNNNNNCGUUGCUCUUCGUCGUAGCGUUUGGUGGUGGUGGUGGUGGUGUUACUGUGCACCUCUGGUUCUAACGGUACGGAGAGAGAGAGAGCGGGGACAGAGAGAGAGAGAGAGGACUGAAAGGAGAGCAAGAAUGAUAAGGUGUGAACUCACGAAUUGAGGUAUAAUUUGUUUCAGCCCUCAGAUCAGUUUCAUUUAAAUCUAAAGGCCAUCGUUCAUCUGUCCCUUUCUGUCCCGUAAAUAUUUUCCCGCAUGUGAGUAGGCCUGUAUGUCCUAAUUUGUAUAAAUAUUAUGGUGAGUGAUCUUUUUAUAUAUGGAUAUUCGGUCAGUAACUUAACUGUAAUUUUCUCCAAUCUCUAAUGUCAUUGUCAUGGUGCUGGGAAGUUUUCAUCGAUUUGUACUUUUGCUGGGUGCAAGACAAGGGCAGUUUAGGAACAAGAUGAAAUAAUUUGAUAUAUUUAAAAAAUAAAAAUAUUUGUUGAGUUUACUUAAUAGUUUACUAGGUACAUUUAUAACUCCCUUUUUUGUUAGCUUCACUUGAUUCGAACACCUAACCUGUCUAACCCAAUUGAGCAGUUCUAGGACGACAGAGUACAGAAGCAUGGUCCUUCAUUUGAUUACGACGUCGUUUGCUACCCACUUUAUUGUCGGUUACUCACCCGCCAAUAAUGCUCAUCAUUUUCGUGCCUUUUACUCUUACAGUGGCAUUUACGUAAUAUUAUCGAUAAUAAGGGGUUAUUCUGCUAUUUCCGUCCCAAAAACUAUAUGAGCCUCUCUGGUUGCGAUAAACCCCAAUCUGUAAACGUCGUCGUUUCGUCUGCUCUGCUCUCUCGUCUUCGUCUUCUCGAUUCGAACCAGAAGCGCUUCAAUUCACAGAGAUGAGUGAACCGAGCGACAAGUUAGCUUAUUUCCAAGCGAUCACCGGUCUCGAAGACUCCGAUUUGUGCGUGGAGAUCCUAACCGCCCAUGGCUGGGACCUCGAGCUCGCGAUCUCGUCCUUCACCACCACCGAGACUCACGCCCCUCCGCCUUCGCCGCCGCCAGAGAAUCACGCCGCCGGCACCUCCUCCGACUCCGCCGCCGUCGUUUCUCAAUCCGGAUCGCCUUCGAACGCCGCCGCGCCUCCCGGCUUGGUCUGGAGGGUGAUCACUCUGCCGAUUUCGGUCAUUUCCGGUAGUCUAGGGUUGAUUUCCGGCGCGAUUGGGCUGGGGAUGUGGGCCGCGGGAGGCGUGCUGUCUUACUCGUUAGGGAUGAUCGGGCUGGGCUCCGGCCGGGGCGGCGAGGGCUCGGCGAGGUUGGUGUCGGUUUCGGCGGUGGCGACGGAGGCGAUGGAGUUCGUGGCGAGUUUCGAGAGGGAUUAUGGGACGAGGGGGCCGAAUUUCGUCGGGGAAGGGUUUAUGGAGGCGUUGCAGAGGUCGAGGAACUCGUUUAAGCUGUUGUUUGUGUAUUUACACUCGCCGGAGCACCCUGAUACGCCGGCGUUCUGCGAGAGGACUCUGUGUUCCGAGGCCUUGGCGGCUUAUAUCAAUGAGAACUUUGUUUCGUGGGGAGGGAGCAUUCGGGCCAGUGAGGGGUUCAAGAUGAGUAACAGCUUGAAGGCCUCGAGGUAUCCUUUCUGUGCUGUUGUAAUGGCUGCUACGAACCAGAGGAUUGUGCUGCUUCAGCAGGUAAUACUAGCAUUGAAUCUCUAUGAGUUUGAUUAUUGAUAGUUUAACUUAAUUGUUAUGUGAACAUAGUCGACAUUGUAGGGGUUGAUAUCAUAAAUUCAUAAUCACAGAUUUUAAGGAUUGUUGGUAACUAGUGAGGUAUGUUAGUUCUAUCAUGUUCGUUCGGUGCUGAACAAGAAUAUGGAUGAAUGGAAUUUAUUAACUGUUUUGAAGUUAGAAAUGAAAGUUUCUUGGCUCUAUAGAGGGUCAAAGUUCCCAUCCCUUGUGGAAAUAUUACAUUUGAGACAUUUAUAUUGGUUCACUUCUGUUGCUUGUAAAUGAUUGGACUGACCUGUCAGCUGUAGCAAUUGUAUGGUGUCUUUUAGUGUCAUGGGGUAAUGUUCUUUGGCUUUUCCCAUAGAACUCCUUUUUUUUUUUUUCCAUGCAAUGUGUUUAAUGGUGAGUAGUGGUGGCAGAACCAUGAUAGUUUGAUGAAGUGAUUGGUAAUAGUAAAUGUUGGAAAUGGUGGCGCCAUUUGUAGUUUAGAUUUGUUGUUCGACUUUCUUCUCCUUUGUUUUAUUUUAUUUGUAAAUGUUACUUUCAUAUAUUCUAUGUUAUCUUUCCUAACGCUUCUAAUGUUGUUUUAAAUCUCAGUUUUUAUAUAAGUUAUUUGGUUUUUGUUUUUUCCGCACUAACACUGAAAUUAGUAUAGUUGGCCUAAACUUGAAGGUAGAAUUGAUUCUAUUUGAGGGAGUAGAGGCGAAAAGAAAAGUAUAAUGCAUUACUAUAAGGAAAAAUUUCUGCUAUUUUCAUUCGUGUGUGUUCUUAAAUUGAAGUUGGUGACUCUUCAGUGCAGUCUUUGCAUGAAUUUCUGCUGACGCUGCUCUUGAUAUUUGGUGAUCUGUUCUGAAUAAGUGUUGUCUGAACUUUAGGUUUCUUUUAUUUGUUUUAUUUAUUUCUUUAUUUUUAGGAUUUUGAUAAGCCUAAGCUUGAGAAGAACUGUUUCUGAUUUCCUAGGCAAAAGGGUUGAACUACGUCAACUGGGGGUAUAAUUAAGUAUUCAGACCAUGUUGAUUUAUCUUUCUCAUGUUUUGCAGGUUGAGGGACCAAGAUCUCCUGAAGAAAUGCUUUCAGUACUGAACAGAGUGGUUGAAGACAGUGCUUCUGUUCUUGGUUCAGCAAGGCAUGAGGCAGAAGAAAGGAUAAGCAACAUUCGUUUAAGAGAAGAGCAGGAUGCUGCCUUUAGAGCAGCACUUGAAGCUGACCAAGUAUGCUAUUAUUAGUUCAUCUAGGUUUUCUAAUUAUGUUUUCUUUUCAUUACUGAAGUGUGUGCUCCCUUUGCCCUAAUGUUAUCAUUCUUUGUUCAGGCAAGGGAAACUCAGAGGAGAGAAGAGCAAGAACGCCUGGAAAGAGAAGCUGCUGAAGCUGAGAGGAAGCGUAAGGAGGAAGAAGAGGCUCGUGAAAGAGAAGCACGCGAAGCUGCUGAGAGAGAGGCAGAACGAGCUAGGAUACGUCUAGAGAAGGCCUUGGCUCUUGGUGCUGAACCAGAGAAAGGACCUGAUGUUACAAGGGUAAUCCUUCUCACCUUAGAACUUGAGCUUUCUUAUUACUACUUCCACAUACUCACUUUGCUUAAAUCAAGUUAUUAUAUCUAUAGUUUUUACGCCCUUGUCAACUGCAAAGGCAUCAUUUACCAAAACUCUAGGCACGCAGUUAUUGUAGUGGUUGCAUGUUCCUUAUUACCGUGUGGAUUGUUGUAAUCAUAGUAAUUCCUAAUCUAUGUUAUUUGGCAAAUCAGGUUUUGGUGAGGUUCCCAGGUGGAGAACGCAAGGAAAGGAGGUUUUACAGUACCACGACAAUCCAGUCUCUGUAUGACUAUGUUGACUCUCUGGGUUGCUUAGACGUGGAGGAUUACAGUCUGGUCUCUAACUUCCCUCGAGUGGUAUACGGUCCAGAGAAAGCCAACUUAAACUUGAAAGAAGCAGGGUUGCAUCCUCAAGCCAGCCUUUUUGUGGAGCUGAAUUCUUGAGUGCUCAAAACACAAAGUAAUGAUAUUGAAAUUAGUAGAGACAGAUUGAGAUCUGCAAACUGCUAGUAGGGAACUUUUGUUUUACUUCUCUAUAGUAUUAUCCAUUUUGUUAGAACUAUAUGAUGAGGUAAGAUAGAUACCAUUUGUGUCUUAUGUGGAUGGCUAGUUUCUAGCAAUGCAAAUUCUUUCGUGCAAGCCAAUCGAAAUGAAUGAUGGUACUGACUGUCACUUGGAAACUCGAAUAAGUUUUACCAUUCAUUUGAUCAGUGUUGAGUGAUUCAAGUAUGGUUGGUUUCUUGGUCAAUUGUACAACUCCAUUACCAGAGAGAAAAGAACACGUAAUUUCUUCUUAACUUUCAAUUUCAGUAAGCAGUAGCUUGUUGGAACAGGGGAAGGUUUUUCAGGCCAACAGUAAUGUAAAAAAGAAAUGGCUUCGCCCGGGUUCGAACCGGAGACCUUCAGUGUGUUAGACUGACGUGAUAACCAACUACACCACGAAACCAAUUGACAGCUAAUCCCCGAAUAUAAAUAUAUCUCCUGGUAUUUACCCUCCAUUAUAUCUAAGCACUUUUAUCUUCACUUACAUACUUCUCUCUUCCCCUCCGUCAUAAAAUCCCGGAUUUUGAAAGAGGUGUUAUACCAGGCCCGCUCACCUGCAGGACAACAAUUAAGGGACAAAACGGGAUGAAGUGAUGGCAGCCGUUGAAUUAUUAAUGAAAUGAUCUUACGGCUAGAAAAACAUAUACAUUAAAACCUAAUUAUCAGAGACCCUCUUCUUCUCUCUCGACUCUUUUCUGGUCCAUGCCUUGAACCAUGUCUUGGAUCUAUCUCUCUCUCAUCCAUGAAACGUUCCACCAUGUCCUGGAUUGAAAGCACCACCAUCUUCCCUCAUGAAACAAAACACAGUUUCGCACUUUUGUGAGUUUGUCUCUUUCCUCCGAUUAACAAAUUCACUCCAAUUCUUUUCUUCUUCUUCUCCAAUCUAAGUUUGAGUAUCAGACCCCCAAAAAAAAAAAAAACUAGAGUUUGAGUAGCAAUGACCAAGCCUCAGACCCAGAGAUCCAAACCGCGUCCGUCGGGGCGCACCAAUCCGGCCUCGUGCGAACCGAAUUCAGAGAGAGACUAGAGAGAAGAUUGGGUAAUGGGUAUUUGUUAAUCGGGUUACUUCUGGUUUCCUAUAUUUGUUGGAUUUAAUUUACAUGUUGCUUAGAUUAGUUCUAUGGAAGGAUGAGAAAAUGAUAGCAGAUGAUGCCUCUAACAAAUUACAUAAUAGGAUAGCAAGAUGAGGAAAAGUAGAUGAACGGAUUUGGGUUGCAAAGUUUGGAAAGUGAGAUCGAUGAGGGAAGAAGAUGAAACAAAGUUGGAAUAUAAUUUGUUUCCAUUAGAACCGUAAGAUUUACUCACUAAACAUCCAACGGUUGAGAUUGAAUGGUCCCUUUUUGUCCCUUAAAUCGUAUCCCGCAGGUGAGCAGCCCUGGGUGUUAUACAUAGGUUAUUUACUUAUAGGUAGAAAAAUGUUAUAAAUUAUAAGAUAAAUAGUUCUGAACCAUUAGAGUAUUUUUAUCAAAGACUCUUUAUUCGCAGACUAUCCAAAGUUUAGUUAUUAUGAUUUUUAGCUAUCUCGCUACCUAAAUAGAGAGAUAUGACGCUCUCUAUAAUUUAAUGCAUUAUUUUUAAUAUAUUUUAUAUGAUAUACAAAUACGUAUAUACUAUGUAAUCUUUUGAAGUAUUAUAUUAAAUUAAUAUUAGCUAAAAUAGAGAGUAUUGAUGCAAACGUAUUUUUAAAGUCGUUAGCUAAAAUGACAUUUUAGUUAAUUUGACUAAAAUUUAACAUAAAAAUAGUUAGCAUUAAUAAAGAUUUUCUUACUCAAUAACUAAACAUGAGUUAUUCAACGCAACAAUAUGAAACAAUAUCAGCACUUUUCGAUAAAUAAUUAUACACAUUUUAACACUAAAACACUAUCAACACCCCAUGAUACGGCCAGAGAAGGUAUCCAUUGAUAGAGACGAUAUUUGAAGUUGUAAGGAUCUUGUAUUCUUGAAUUUGUCAUAAUUGAGUUCUUCAAGUAUUGAAAAGCUAAAUUACUACCCCUAUCUUAAUCUGUUUAUGUUGGUCGAAAUUCUGCCCUAAUCCUAACUCUCACGCAGUAGUCUUUGAUACGUCCUCUCUAUCAAGAUGAAGUUUAAUACAUCAAAUUCCAACGUUGAAGAAGAAUCCUAAUUGGCUAAAUAAGGAUAAUUAUCUAACCAAAAAUAUAAAAUUAAUUAAUGAUAAUCAAUUGAGCGCCAAAUGUGGCUCCUCUUUUACCAAUUACAGCUCCACACCCAAAAAGUCCAGCUUAUUCUUCUCUCUGUAUACCACAAUCCCCAAUCCAACUACAAACUCUUCUACGCUUCCCCCACCCCUAUUUUAACCCCAAUUCACAAUUCCUAGGGUUUCAUUUCCUAUCUCCUCCGUCGCCGCCGCCGCUCUAGCCGUUCCGCCGCCGUCAAAUCCCUAAUUUCUCCCUGAAUUGGCGAUCCAAAAGAUGCAGAGAGCGCCAUGGAUGAGCCUGGGAUAGAUUUGACGACGUGGAGAAGCUCAAUUUCGGACGGGAAUUCGGAUAUGGCAUUGUGCUCCCGCGACGAGUGGUUCAUCGGCUGCCGGUUUCGUCUCCGAUCGGCGUUCGACUCCUAUUCCGUUGCCUGUGAGGCGUUUUCUGAACACCGUCAGCGUCUGAUUUCGGCUGCCGUUAGAAUCAAGCUUCUCUGAUAGUUUGUGUUUGAUCGUUUUCGUCUGAAAGAUCGUUUCUUUUGGUUGAAAUUGGAUUAUUGUAGAAGAAUGGAUUUCUGUGCUGGUUUGAUUGGUGUGAAGUCUGACUGUGAAUGUGAAUUUGUGGAGGAAGAUCCGACUGGGAGAUUCUUAAGGGUAUGAUAUUCGUCGCAAUUUGUUUGAGAAUUGAAAUUCUGUUUAUGAAAUAUGUGGCAUUGGUAUUUGUGGAUUUUGUUGGAUUUGAAAUGAUAUAAUUCGUGAUUGUUUUCGUGUUUUGAUUUCUCACAGUCUGAUGAAAUCUUGGGGAGGGGAGCAUUCAAGACUGUGUAUGCUUCUCUAGCCAUAUUAUUUUGUAGCUAAGAUUGUAGCUUUUUAAGAGUUUUUGAUUUCGUUGCGAAUGUGUUUGUUAUCUUAUUUGGAUGGUGUUUCGGAAUGUGUAGAUAUAAGGCGUUUGAUGAGGUUGAAGGUUUAGAGGUGGCAUGGAGCCAGGUGCAUGUUGAGGAUGUGUUGCAGACGCCGGAGCAACUUCAGAGGUUGUAUUCUGAGGUUCAUUUGCUGAAGUUGUUGAAGCAUGAAAAUAUCAUCAAGUUCUGUAACUGGUGGGUUGAUGAUAAGAACAAGACUAUCAACAUUAUCACGGAGUUGUUCACUUCUGGGAGCUUGAGGCAGUGAGUUUCUUUUAACUCUUUUUUAACUGAUUUGUUUUUAUUGGGUUCUAUUCGAACAUGUUGUUCAUUGGUUUAUUGGAUAUUAGGUACCGAAGGAAGCAUAAGAGUGUUGAAUUGAAGGCCAUCAAGAAGUGGGCAAGGCAGAUUCUUCGAGGCUUGCACUAUCUGCAUUCUCAUGAUCCUCCAAUUAUUCAUAGAGAUUUGAAAUGCGACAAUAUAUUUGUCAAUGGAAAUCAAGGGGAAAUAAAAAUUGGAGAUCUUGGAUUGGCAAUAGUCAUGCAGCAACCUACUGCCCAUAGUGUGAUCGGGACUCCAGAAUUCAUGGCUCCCGAGCUUUACGACGAGGAAUAUAAUGAAUUAGUCGACAUCUAUUCUUUUGGCAUGUGCAUGCUAGAAAUGGUGACUUGUGAAUACCCUUACAAUGAAUGUAAAAAUCCUGCACAGAUUUAUAAGAAGGUUACCAAUGUAAGUUUCUAAUGCCAUACAUUAUGAAUUGCUUCCAUACUGGUGAUUUAGGUUUUACUGAACGGUGAACUAAGUUUUCUCCUAACUUCCUUUGCUGCAGGGUAUAAAGCCUGCUUCACUCAGUAAAGUGAGUGAUCCUCAAGUCAAGCAGUUCAUAGAGAAGUGUCUGGUUCCAGCUUCAAUGAGACUGCCUGCGGUGGAGCUCUUGAAAGAUCCAUUCCUUGCAAUUGACAAUAUGAAGGAGCGUACCUGUUAUCCAUUGGGAUCACACAAUUUCAUUCCCAAAUUAGAGAACAUGACACAGCCUGAAGCUCGUCCAAUGGAUGUAGAUGCUAACUGCCAGAAGAUUUCUGCUGGCUCUUGCAGGAAAAGCGUCGAUGUAACUUCCAUCUCAUCCGACCCCUCAGUUCUUGAAUUACAAAGAUUCACAGAGAGUAAUGAAUUCACUUUAAGAGCAGAGAAAAGUGCUGAUAAUACCAUCGCAUUGACUUUGCGUAUUGUUGAUCCAUGUGGUAAGUAUAUUUUUGAUGCAAAAAGGUUCGUUUGUCCCUUAAUUUCGUUAUCUGCAAGUCUAAAACUGAAUAUUAUUUGGUCUGACAGGUCAUGGUAAGACUAUCCAUUUUGAGUUCUACCUUCAUACAGAUACUGCAAUUUCAAUUGCUGGGGAGAUGGCUGAGCAACUUGAUCUCUCAACUGAAGAUGUAUCCGUCACAGCUGAGUUAAUUGAUAGCUUGAUUAUGAAGCUUGUACCCAGCUGGAAACCUACAUCUGACAGUUCAUCAUGUGGAGCAAAUAGUUCAUAUGGGGAUCAGUAUUUAUGUCAAGUUGAUGGAAGUCAUUGGGAUUCAGGGUUUAUCAAUCCUACAUCAAUGAUUUCAGAUAUCUCAGCUGAGUACGGCGUCACUAAUGUCUCAGGCACCACUGAUCUCAAGGUUUUAGAAUCAGACAUGUAUAGUUUUGAUGAAUGCUAUAGAGGUUCAGAUGGGUACUGUUCGAGUCCAGAUUGUUUGGUUCAUGGUCAGCUUAAGCAGAAGAAAUAUGAAGAUGAUUUUGGUGAUUCUAUCGUGAUAAACGACUCAGCAAUGAACUCUUCUAUCUCGAGCCCUGAUAGAUCAAAAACUUGUAGCUUAUCAAGCAUUUGUUCCUUGUCAGAAUUGUCUUUGAUGGAGAAACAUGCGUAUGAUGGGCUCAAAGUGGAGCUGGAUUCAAUUGAUCUGCAGUUUCAUCAACAUUUUCUUGAGCUCUUGAAGAUGAAGGAAGAGGCAAUACAUAACGCAAAGAAGAAGUGGAUAACAAAGAAGAGAAUAGCUGUUCAUUAAUGUCGUGCAUGUUCAUGCUGGGGGUGCUUUUCUGUUUUUUUUUCUUCCAGUUUUUCAUUUCAUUCUUACAUUCAUUUCAUUCUGGUCAUAUUUUAAAACUGUUUAUUUAUGAGGAAUUUUUCCGAACUGGUUCAAGGGGUAUAGCUGAGAAAUACUUGAUCAAAUAUUCUUUUUGAUUCUGGGAGCCAAGUGUUACCAAAAGUUAAAACUUCAUGUUUGAACAGAAUGAACUUGCGACGCUCUAAAUUUACCUUUAAAAAAGUUUUGUCCCUCAUUUUUCAAAUUGAAUUGGUAUAUAAUGUGUGCCACAAGUGUUUAAUCCUAAAAGAUAUUUCAAGAUGGCUGAAGAAAAUGUUUCCUGUACGUGAGUCAAUGCUUCAGGGUAAUGAUUUCUUUCUUUCCAAACCAUUUCUCCAUUGACUCCUCGUCAACACCACAUCGAAUCGAACUAAUAAAACCUUCUUACAGAACCACAAAAUAUGAAACAGCAGAAAUGGAGGACCGAUUGACUUGCUCAGCGCUGCUAAACUUCCAGGAAAAGGAGCUAGGGUGCGGGUUUCAGAAUCCAUAUCGAUCAUCCUCACAAGCACAAGCCAUCUACAAGCCCUGGAUUGAGAGCAAAUUGAGCCGGUCUUAAUCUGCAACGAUUGAGGUUCGUGACAAGUUAGAAAGUUUUGAUAAUUACAUAUGUAGUUUGCUUGUUGAGUCUGAGUUGUUGUAAUUAUGUCGACUGUUGCUCUCAACUUUGUUGGAGGUAUACCUUUCCAACUACUGUAUGAUGGCAUUAAGAUAGCCACUCGCAGGACUAGCAAGUUUAGAAGCAACCUCAUAAGCCUCCAGUUCACACUUGACUGU